rnacentral:lncRNA from 1 species
UACCAACAAUUAAGAAGCUUUUUCCCUGACUUGCUGCAUCAAAAACUAAAUCACAAGCAUCUGAUAAAAAUCGAGCUGUUCUAGCGAGAUGUGUAAUGAGUACCUUUACGCUUUGCCGAGAUGUAAGGGGCCAUUUUAGGAUUCCAUUUCUUAAUACCAUGACCAAAAUGAACUCCCGCUUCUAUCAUCUCUUUCAAAUUGAUGUUCCAAUAUCUUUUUGUCAUUUUUUCCACACUUCCUUUUUAUUUUUUUGUUUUUUUUCAUCUAACCAUUACCGAAUUAAUUUCUUUUUGAAGAUUAAGAAAGAGCCAAAAUAGCUUGAAAUAAAUAAUAAUUGUUCCCAUGAAACCUUCUACUCAGAAUUGACCAUCGAUACAUGCUAUAAACAUAUCCUUAAUGAAUUAACUAACUUCUUUUAGUUAUUAAAAUACAAAAUCUAAAAUCGGACCUGUUAGCAUUCUAAGGUCAAAAGUAUAGUUUAAAUUAAAGUAAAAAUAAAAAGUUGCUUUAUGUAUACUUGAAUUGUAUAAAUAGCGGUAAACAGGGCUUCUGAUGUUUCAUAGAAAUUGUUUGUUACAUCAAAAUCAGAAGAAACUAAUUCUGUAUGGAGAAACAAAAUAUCUCUCAUUUCCGACGCGAAUAGUUUUUUUUGAAUUUCAAAAUAAAGGUUCUUGUCUUGUGGGGAACGAUGGACAAAUUUUUGGAACCCGGUAGGUAUAAUCUCCCCCCCCCCCCAAGAACUACAUUUUCUUUCAGGGCUUUCAACCAAUUAAUACGACCUCGUAGGGCAGCUUUUGCUAAAACUCGAGCAGUUUCUUGAAAACUUGCUUGAGAUAUGAAACUUUGGAUAUUCAAGGAAGCCCUUGUUAUUCCCAAUAAGAUUGCCCGAUAAUAGAACAAUUCAUCUAAAGCCCGCCCUGCUAGUUCCGCUCUCAAUAGUCCUAUUAAUUCCCCAGGUAAAAAAACAUUAGACAUUCCAUCUUCGGAAACCCUUGCUUUUGAUGUUACUUGGCGUAUAGUAAUCUCUAUAUGUCUAUUAUGGAUCUCUACCCCUUGGGAUCGACAAACCUUUUGUAUCUUAUUAACCAAAAAGAUACGACUUUGGGCUAUGGUUAGCUCAGCUUCAAUCAAGAAUCCCCAGGGAACCCCAAGAAUUCUUUGUAUACGUUCGUUCCAAUCCUCAAUUCUCCUUUCAAGAUUCGGCAAUAGUGAAUCAAUUGAACAGUUGCUCCUAUAGUGGCCAAAUAAGGCUUAGCUGCUCUUAGAACAAAGGAGUCCAUAUUAACGAUGAAAAUUUGACCUGAUUUUUUUAUGUGCGAUUUAAAUAGACAUACAUUUUCAUAAAUAAAUUGUCCAAGGUGAAUCAUUGCCGAUGUCUCUUCCCACGAGUCAUGAUGGAGAAAGUGCCAAUUCAAAUGGAAUGGCUCUAACAUGAUGUUACUGUUGAAAUUCGAAAUCCUUUUAUUUUUGUCUAUUAAAUACUAUUUAAGUCCUUGAAGUACUUGGAAGGUUUGUUUCAAAUUUUCAAGGAACAAGUAUUUUUUUAACAAGAUCUGAUUAUGUGUUAUUAAAUAGUAAGAUGAAGAAAAAUUUGAUAUACUAGGUACAAUAGCGCCUAAGAGCCCAAAAAUAUCUCAAAUAGGAAUUCUAGGAUUCGAUUCCUUUACCGUAUUAGGAUACUUUGAAUUCUUGAAUAAACCAAUUCGAGAACAGUUGGAUGCCCACAAAAUCAUCAAAGAUCGAUUACUUCGAUUCAACAAGGUGCCAAUAGCUUCUUGAUGUUGGCUAACUGAUUGAAUCUUUGCCUUGGAAUAAAAGGAAUUGGUAUUGUUGCGAUCUAAUCUGUUAUUGGGAAUCAGUCCUACACUUGUCCUAUCAUAACUUCUUCGUGUAUACCAAGUAGUAGAAUUAACUAAGUCAAUUCUUAGGAAAUCGCGAAUCAGAUCAUUUGUUCUUACCUCAUCAAGAGAAGCACGAGCCCCCCUCAUUUUCUUCUUGUUCCCAAUUCACUACUAAGCAAGUUCGAAUGAAUUGACUAUUCGUGUGAUAAAUUCUUUGAGUUAACUUGCUAUUUUCAUUACAAAUAAAAUUGACAUGUUGAAGUUGGAGAUUAUCCUCUUCUUGCAGGAGAUCCUACAAGAAAAGUGUUGCUAAAUUUCUCCCUUCGUCCAUUUGAUAUGCGACUGCAGGUCGGACCGAAACAAAAUACUUUUCCUUGCUUUUGAGAAUUUUUUUUGUUGAACAUAAACCCAAUUUUUCCUUUAUUUUGAUUCCUUAGAAUCUUUUUUCUCUUUCUAGUGGUAUCAAACUGCCACCUAAUAUCUUAUCCGCCUCUUCAGGAAAAUGAAUAUCCUCGGAAAGAUUUUGAGCUCUGUAUGGCUUUUAAUUCUCUUCACUCGGACCAAUCCACCUAGUUGACUUCUUCUACUUUUUGUGAGUUGUGUAUUGCCUCCAAUAAUACUAUUAUCAAGUACCUUUAGGGUUGAGGAUCUCAGCAAGAGAUGCAAUUCUUGAAGAAUGAAAAAAAACCGAUCUACUUCUUUUUGGUAUUUUUGGACUAAAUUCUUUUGUUCCUCGAUGCUCAAUGAAACCCUCCUUUUUAAGAUGGAAUCUUCCCUCGGGCUCCCAUAUUUCAUCUUCAGAGUCUUCCUCUGAGUCUUCUUCUAAAGUCUCAUAUUCCUUUUCUGAGCCAUCUUCAGAGCUCCCAUAUUCUUCUUCCGAGUCUUCCUCUGGAGCCCUAUAUUUGUCUUCUAGGAUUUCAUAUUCGCCCUCUCCCUCUCGGGUCUUAUAUUCAUUCUCUGGGCUACCAUAUUCUUCCUCCAAGUCUUUCUCUAGAGUCCUAUAUUCGUCCUCUAGGAUCCCAUAUUCAUCUUCUAGGGUUUCAUAUUCAUCCUCUAGAGUCCUAUAUUCAUCUUCUAGGAUUUCAUAUUCACCCUCUCCCUCUCGGGUCCUAUGUUCAUUCUCUAUGCUCUCAUAUUCCUCCUUUGAGUAUUUCUCUCAAGUCCUAUACUCUUCCUCUCGAGUCCUAUACUCUUCCUCUCAGGUCCGAUAUUCUUCCUCUAGGGUCCUAUAUCUAAAUUUAACAAUUCCUGAACCCCUUUUAUCUUGUUUGUAUCUUGGAUCAUCAAAAUAAGCAAAAAUAGUAUUUCUAUGUAACACACCCAUAAAGGGUAUUUCAAUUGAAAUACCCAAACAGGAUAUUAGCUCUUUCUCUUGUUCUUGAUGAUAUUGUAAUGGAAUAACGAACCCAUUUCUUCGCUUUUUCACCAACAAAUCCGAGUUAUCUUGAAGAAUAGAAGGAUAGACAAAAUUCCAAUGACCGUUGGACACGAUUCAAUCUAGCGUUAAAUAAUCAAGAAUUUCCCUAUCUUCUUUACCAAAAGUAUCCAAGAAUCUAUGGCUUACUUGAUCAUUUGCCAUUGGUAGGUGAAAGAUAUCUCUUCCAUGAACAGAAAAAGAAUAAGUAUUCAUUUGAUCUUGAUCCUUGUGGAGCGAAAAGGAUGCUAUACUGGAUCUGCACAUACUUACUAACAAUAUCCAUAAAUGGUUUGUUUUUCGUAAUCAUCGAAGAUUACCAUAUUGAUAUUCGGGUGCAUGGCAAACAUUAGUACUCCAGUGCAUUUCCCCGUCAGAUUCGGAAUAAAUAUGCUUUUGUAUCUUUUCUUUAAAAUGGAAAGUGGAUGUUCCGGCAUGAAUCUCCGCAAUUACUUGUUCGGAUUCUAAAUAUUGAUCAUUUGGCACUAGAGUCAAGCUUUUUAACGGAAUAUUCACACUAUGUAUAAUAUCCUGACUCUGAAUAGUUACAUCCAAGUCUAUAUAGCAUAGAAAAGCAGGUUGUCCAUGACGGGUAUGUGUGGGGUGAACCAAAUCCUCAUGGAAUUGGAUUUUUCCAUUCGAGGGGGAUCGUACAAUGUCGGCAGUACCCCCUAUGAAUACAGCAUCAGUAUGAAAAGUUCUUAGUGUUAGUUGAGUCCCUGGCUCCCCAAUGGAUUGACCUGCAAUAAUACCUAUAGCUUCCCCUAAUUCGACCAGAUCCCCAUGAGUGGGUCUCCGCCCAUAACAUAAUUGGCAGAUCCAAGAUGUGCUCCGGCAAGUAAAGGGGGUUCUAAUAUAUAUUGGUUGGGCUCGAAAGGAAGUUAUGAAUCGGUUGACUAAUCCAAUUCCAAUAUCUUGAUUUCGAGCAGUAAUGCAUCGUGAACCAAUAUAUAUAUCAUCUGCUAAUACACGACCAAAUAGUGUUUGGACAAAAAGUUUUUCCGUCAUCCCAUUUUGAGAACUCACAGAAAUACCUUGGAUAGUACCACAAUCUCUUCUACGCACAAUAAUAUGUUGAACUAAUUUCUAAGUGUAGGAUAGCAGCAUCCGUCGUUCGUACAGCAGUAUCUACAACCCCUUUUCGGGCUCCGUAGCAGGAAAUUAUAUAUUCUGUCAAAGAAAGUCCCUCGCGUAAAUUGCUUUGAAUAGGUAAAUCAAUCAUUUGUCCUUGAGGAUCCGCCAUUAACCCUCUCAUACAUACUAAUUGGUGUACCUGAGAAGCAUUUCCUCUGGCUCCUGAAAAAGUCAUUAGAUAGACUGGAUUAGAAGGAUCCUUUAUUCAAAAUUUUGAAUUCAUUUCUUGUUUCAAAUAUUCACUUGUAGCAUACCAUAUUUCAGUGGAUUGGCGUAAUUUUUCUACUGCGUGUACAGCCUCAUAAUAAUAGUGUUUCUCCAAAAGAAAACUUUGUUGUUCCACGUCUUGGACUAUCAUCCUUUAGAGGGUAUUGUUAAAAGACCCUCGAUUCCUAAAGAAAUCGAUGUAGUAGUGUGGCUUGAUGGAAGCCCAGAGUCUUUAUUUGAUCCAAUAUAUGGGAUGUAUAUCCCAUUCUGAAAUGAUCUAUUAAUCUACUAAUAAGUCGUUUCAUAGCAGUUCCGUCUAUCUCUUUAUUAUGAAAGACCAAGCUGGCCCGUUCUGCCAUACAUAAGUACCCCCUUUUUUGGCUGAGUAGGAUUCGACAAUGGGCUUGAGUCAGUGAUUCGAAAACUUAAUUUACUCCCUUUCCUCAAUCUCAAUCUGGAUUUGCGCGGCAAAAAAGAUGGGACUAACGAAAUCGGAAUGGCCCCGGAAAGGGGCAUCGCCGAACCUAACUUCCUAAUUUAGAUAGUGUAUGAAUAGGCCCAACUAAAUCCUUGUAUGGCUUCCUCUAUUUCUCUAUAAAAAUAAAUAUGACCAAGAGUGGUUCGAAUGUAUAUAGAAUGGAUUUUUUUUUCUAUUUCCCACUACCAGAUAGUGGGCAUAAAUCUCAUGAUAAGUCCCAAAAGAUUCAUAUUGAACUUCAAUUAGAACUUCUCUUGACCCAAUGACGCGUUGAUCUAGUUUCCAUCGGAGCCACAAGGGACUGUUUAAACCGAUUCAUUUCUAUCUAUAAGCUCCCAGUGCAUCAUAGGAACUAGAAAAAUGAUGUCCUUUAUCUUUCGUAUACUUAUAAUAAUUUUUAUUAUUGCAUUUUAAUAUUUUAUUUGGAGAGUUUCUGUGGCAGAACCGUCUGAAUUAUUCCGGCUCAAGUGCACUAGUCAUCGUUAUAUAGCCGAUACUAACUCAACGCACUUCAAAGGGAACAACCCAUUGGUCUGUCGGGUCUCCGCCCGAUGCAACCACGGUUCAACAGAAUCGAAGCAGGUUUACCUCGCACGAAGGCGAGUUUACAAUCGCACAACAGCUCAUUAACUUUUAAUUCACAGAGAAUUAAACAUUAUUACAAACUGUUUCAAACUUAAGUAAUAAACAAACAUUGUUUAAAAUGACAAGCUAAACAUGCUUGUCAAGUUCACAGUGGAAGAAAAAUUAACACACAACUACACACAUCGCGAAGGUUGACACCAUACUCAGCCCGAAGUAUGGCACCAUUCAGGAGGGUCACUGCCAGCCGGGGAUGGAUCCCACUCCAGGACCAGCCAAACGGGGCAAAAGUUAGCCAUGCAGGACUAUCCGUGGGGUUCUCGAGAGUUAUACCUGAAAAAUUCACUAGCAAGACUGAGUAUACUAAUACUCAGCAAGACUUACCUGGAAUUGGGUUAUACUUUGCCCAUAACUAGACUCAUGAAAGCUUGCAAUGGUUCUGGGUUUAAUUUCAGCUGAAAAGCAACAAAGAGUAUAAUCUACUUUCAUGUUUUUAGCUUUCAGAUUCUAGUCUCAUUAACCAUUCUAGGUAAGCACCUAUCCUAGACAAACAAGGUAGAGAUUAACAUCCACCAGAUUAUUCCAUAAUAGUUAGUGUUCUUACUCUAUGUGGUAGAAGGAAUAAGCAGUCUCAAUCUCCGUGAGAAACGGACGAUUCCUGAAUCGAAUUUCAAAACCUUGCAUGGGUAAACCUAACUCGCACGCUUGGAACAUCCAAAGAUCAUUCCGAAGCAACCAUUUGCCUUUCAUUCCGACUCGUGGAACAGGGCCACCACAAGCGAAUAUAGGACCGUACGCACACCAAUUGUGCAGGACAUAUGUCUAUAGCGCGACUUUAUGACCGUACUCCUGUCCGCUGCGCGGAACGUACUCCCGCACGUCAGUGCGUGAGAAAAACCAAAUUACGAGUGGUGGGAGGUAUGUCCACUCCUCGGGCCGAUUAGUUACUAGGCUUACCGCUUUACCAUAUUUCGCGGCAUGUGGCUAGUACUUUCAAACGCUUAGCCACCACUACCACACACUGCGACCUUAUCAACUUUUAUCAACACAGAUGGGGUAACCUUUCUGAGUCAUGAUGUUGCACAUGACCCCGUCCAUCAUCCUUAUAGUGAUUGCAGAAUAGUAAGCAUUCAACUCCUAUAUCGCGCGAGUGACAGGAAAUCACCCGACUUCUACCGGUCCUAUUAGCAGAGCAUCUAUGCGAUAAGGACUCAGGUACAAUACAUUGGAUUCCUAGGAUUUAUGCAUCUAGGGUUCCAUUUCAACUCCUAGACUUAAUGCGAGAUAUAAUAUCUAAGUAUAGAAUUGCAUAAAUGUAGUAAUUUGAAAUAUUGGGUUAUGCUCCGGGGCUUGCCUUCUUGAGCGGGGUUUUGGUCAGUGGUGUCAGAGGCUUCCGAACUUUGGUUCGGGGCUUUAGUUAUAGUCUCGAUGAUGUUCGCAGGAUCUUCAGAAAAUCCUAGCUCGUUUUCCGGGACUAGCUCGUAGUCUCCGUCGCCGAGUGUCGUUGACUCUACAUGAUAUGCAAGGAUUUGAUUAGAUGAUUCUUGAGUUAAGGAUUUUACUUCACAGUAAAGUUGCAAUCCAAUAAAUUAACAAACAUAAACUCAUGAAACAAGGGGGUUGGAUUUAAUUCUACUAUUUGUAUUUUAAUUCAUUGCCAUAUUAAUGGAAUUACUUUGAAGUAAUCUGACAAGUUUGAUUUUUAUUUUUGAAACCAUAAAGGUUCUGAUCUUGAAUUUUUGUGGAUAAGCUUAUUUCUAGUGGAUAGGCUUAUUAUGAAUUUUUCAUAAUUUUCUGAAAAUACAAACUAGGGUAUUUGAAUUUAGUUCAAAUGUUAGGGUUAAAUUCAAAUCUUAGGUAAAUAGUGUUAUAAAUUCUUGAAAAAUUAAUUAGGAACUAAUUAUCAACAUAUCAACAUAUGGUAAAAAGAUUUAAGCAUGGAAAGCUUAGGAACAUGUUUGAAUAAAAUUUAAAUCCUCUCAAGCUUGAUUUGUACAAAAUUAAAUUAGUUGAAGCUAGGGUGCAGUACUGGUGCUGAAAUUUUUACACAAGCUUGUAUUCACCUUAAAUAGACUACACACCAAAAUUUUACAGGUAACAAAGUUAGCAUGCACAAAAUUACACACAAAACACUCUUUUGCUUGACUUUAAAAUAACUCAAAAAACAUUUAGUUUUGAACCAAACUCUAGUAACAAAAGUAGUCGAAUUGAACUUCUAGAGUACAACAAAACUGGUUUGACAAUUUUUUAAUUUUUCUACGAAUUCCUAUGAAUUUUACAAGUUGGCUGAUUUGUGUUUGGACGGGGGUGCUACUUUCUCACAGAUAGGCCCCUGGAAACUUUUGAAUUCUCGAAGUUGAGUCCCUAGCCAGACUACACAGGAGGUCCGACCGAUUGCCGAUCAAAUUCCGGCGAGAGGGGCAAGUGAGGGGAAAUGCUCUGGGUCUCACGGCGGUCACGUGGGUGGCCGGUGUCGGGGAAGGGAGGGGCUGUAGCGGCGUAACGACGACGAUCAGGGUCAGGCGGCGGAGGUCCGAAGGAUGUCGCCGGCGUUCCGGUAGCCGGAGGGCAGGAGGGUGGUGGGGGUGUGGCUAAACAGCUUCUACGUGAUGAUGUGGUGCUGGUGGUGUGCUUGGCCGGGACUAGGAGUGUAACACCCUAAUGUAAAUUUCCUAAAUUUUAAUGAAUUUAUUUUGGCUUAAAUAAAAUUUCUAAGGUUUUUCUUGAUUUAUCUUGCAUUUAAACUAAUUUUAUACCACAAGUAAUUAAAUUUAUUUAGGGGUCAACAUGUUUGUACAUUCAUGCUGGUGCAUCUCUUUUGUUUGUUGGAAUGCUUUAGUUUGAAUUCAAAUCUUAAUUGAAUUCAAAUAGAUUUGAGUUUGGAAAUCAGGAAAAGAAAUAGAAAAUAAGAAAGGAAAAGAAAAGCCAGCCCAACCCGCAGCCCUUUUCCUUCUCCACCCUCUGGGCCGGCCUCUUUCCCCCGCGGCCCAGAAGCCACGCCCCGCCCAGCUCCUCCCUGUUCCCCAGCCGGAGCCCGCGAGUCCCCCCUCUUUCUCCCUCUAACAGUCGGGACCCACCUGUCGGCAUUUCCCUCCUCUCAGCCGCGCAGCGCUCUCUCUCUCUCUCUCUGGCGUAGCGACCCCAUACGUCAGUGCCUCCUUCCCCCUUUCCUUUCUUCUUCCCCGAGCACCGGCCACCCGAGAUCUCCGGCCAGCCGUGAUCCAGCUCGGGCCCGCACGCCAAGACCCCGGUUCUCCCCUUAAAGUUGAACCCUAAAACCGAAGCUCAGAGCGGAGCCGUUUCAGCUCCGCCGUGGUCCGGCCGUUCCGGCACUCCUCUCACCACCGUAGGUCGACGUGGCAGCCCUGCCUUGUCGCCAGAAGCGUCGUCGACCCCUCCUUCCCCAACCUCAGGCCGCACGCACGGUAAUUGCUUCGGCCCCGCCAUCGUAGGCAAACCGUCCCCGAUCAAUUGCUCGCCGCCGGUAGGCCGCAGGCCAAGCUGACCCCAUUUACACCUUCACAGGACCCGCACGUGUCAUCUUGGAGGAUCAGCAGGCCGGGAGGAGCACUACCUCAACCUGUCCACGGCACCCCGUGCGCGCCACCGCUUGAUCUCGGCGCCGGCAUCCCCGCACGGAAGCACUGCCCAAUUCGUGCCCUGGUGAGCACCGCCCCAACCUCCUCUUGCUCUUAAGGUACACACCGUAGCUUGUAAGCCGGCCCCGUGGGCGGAACGCCGUUUCAGCGAAACGCCACCGCGUGCGCAUAGGUCUGCGGCCGUAUCGGAGUUCGCCGCCGUGCCGUACCCGAGCGAACCCCCAGGUAGAUUAGGUGUGCCGCGAGCUUCGUCCCCGGCCAAGCCCCGACAAGAAGUAAGCACGGAUGGCCGAGAUUGGCCAACGCCGGCGAAGUGCCGCCGCGGGAUUUGUCGCUGGAGUAGUAGCGCCGCCACCCCUGCAGCCCAAACCCCCGAGCAUCCAAUCUGUAACGAGCGGCCAGGAUUAGAUCAUGACCGAGUAGACCCGGGCCACCCGAUCGAGGUCCAGCGGUCCUGAGCCAAAGGUACCAGUUCGUGGCAUGGUUAGGUCAGAGCCUUUCGGUCCGAGAUCUACGAUCUAGAUUAGAUCCAGUUAAGUUAAGGCUCGAUCCAUUGGAUCCAGAUCUGACGGCUGAUACGCGUAGAUACCGGUUCGCGCGAUUAGAUCGGGUCCGAGCCGUUGGAUCUAGAUCCAGUGGCCCAGAAUAGAAGGUACCCUUUCAGCCGUGGCGUUUUUGUUAAAGAGUCCCUGGGUUUCCUAGGAAUCAACCCGCAGUCCAGCGCCGUUCAAAAGUAUUUGCAGAUCAGCCCAGUUUUUAGUGUUUAGACCCCUGGAUUCUUUAGGAAUAGAACCCGCCAUCCCUAUCCGGUGUUUUCAUGGGUUAGACCCUAAGUCUAUCCUUUAAUUAUGUUUAGACCCUUAGUAUUUGCACAGAACCCCUUAGAACCUCGUGUUUUCUUACGAUUAAAUCCUUGGAUCUUGUUUUAGCUCUAGAUUUCGCGUCUUAACUCUGUUUUAGAUGGUUUUCGCGCUCACGCGAUCGUUGUAACGCGUAGAAUGGCUUUAGCUUAGUUUUGUGUGCUAUUUUACUGUAUUGUUGUACUGUUUCUUAUCUUUUGCCAUUAUUUGCAUGUAUGUGCAUGUGUGGACCAUGUUUUGGACGUUUCGUUCGUGAGUAGAUGUUGAGCCACCGGAAGAGUACCAGGAGCCACUUUCUUCAGAGCCCUUUGAGUAACAGCAGGAGAACUUUGAGGAAGGCAAGUAUAACAUGAACAUCCUAUCACUUUUAAAUACAAUUUCAUACUGCAUUUUAAUACUGUAUGCCUAUAAGGAUUUCCUAGCCACUUUUAUCCUUUAUAUAAAUACGUUGGGUUGCAUUUUGAUUAGUUGUUCUAGGUGCUGCGCUCUCACAUAUAACGGUCCUUUUUAAUUAAAUUUGAUUAAUGGCAUAUGCAACUUGAUCCUGAAAGUGGCCCUCUGUGCUGUGCGCUUGAGUGGCUCACGUCUCGUUAAAAUAUAUUUUAUUAGAAACAUGGUUUAGGGGGCCAGCACGGUGCUUAGUGCUUGGUUGGCCACUCUCCAUAAGGACUGGUUCAUAGAACGACAACCUGGGACAACCGCGCAACCACGAGACUGGAAUGGGACGGUCUUGACUUACUAAUUAGGUCAUUUUGGUUUGGGAGUAAGUUACCUGCGGGGCAAGAGGGGUGGUAAGCUUCAAUGGUCCCUGCUCCUCCGGCUUGGUCUGUGCUGUGUGCUUGUACCCCCGUGAGGUGGGCCCAUCGUCGCUGAUCCAGAAACCUUAGCAGUUACACCUUACUAACGUGAUCCUUUGUAACGGUCUCGUAGUGCGCUUGCUAGUCAUCUCACCUAAGGAAGUGUGAUGAACAACUAGCGUAGCUCACGACUUGUGGGUAAAGUUGUGCAACCUCUCGAGAGUGUAAAACUGGUAUACUAGCCGUGCUCACGGUCAUGAGCGGCCCAGAUCCUCCGUCUGAUUAGUGGGUUGUAGCUUUGGUGGUUUGGCUUGGUUCUCAAUAGACUCAUGGUUAAUCUUGAUUAAUUAUUAUGCAACUUGGGUCAUGGUAAUUCAUCCACUCGUAGUAAAUAGCUUUAAUAAAAUUUGCCAAGAUUAAAAGCUAAUGCAGUUGAGUCAGCUAAGCUUAGAGCCUCAUAUUUUGUGUUAUACUUGUUGAGUACAAGUUGUGUACUCACACUUGCCUUCUCUACUCUUCUGUUCUCUCUUGGAUAUCUUCGACUGCUGCUCAGUACCAGGCAACAUGGAGGACUACAUCAGCGGACUCGAUGAUUUCUAGGCGUUGUCUCCCAGCCGAUGUCCCUGUGGCGCCCUAUUUUUCAUGUAUUUAUCUUACGCUUCCGCAUUCUUUGAACUGAUUCUUGAUUCAGUUGUAAUAAAGAUAUUCAUUUACAAUUUAUACGCUUUUAUUUUGGGAUACGUGUUGCGAUAUCUUGAUGGUUCUGUUGUAUAUAUGUGUGACUUGAUCCUGGCGCAUAUAUGAUUGCUCGGUUUAUGUUCUUAUAAAUCGGGUGUGACAAGGAGGCGGUGGAUCAACGGGUCGACGGCGAGGCCAAGCGGCGGCGGCAACUCGAGCUCACCGCCGUAGUGGUCUGGUCAUUCCGGUGCACGAGAGCGAGAUUGGGCGGGCUGGGGAGCACCAGUGGGUGAUGGGGAUGCUAAUUGUGCAUUGGAUCGGGGCUCGGAGGUGAUGUGGGCGGCUGAUGAUGACGGGCAGUAGCUGCGGAGGAGGUCCGGCGAGGCGCGGUGGUCAGGAAAAGAAAUGGCCAUGGAAAUGUGGUUGCGGGAACAUAAGAAGGAGUGUAUUGGGAGCUCCAGGAUGUGCUUCAAGUUGAAGAGAGGGCACAGAGAGCAAUAGCUGGUGCAGGCGGCCGGCGGCGAGCAUGGCGGUCGCGGGUGGAGCUCGGGCAGAGGUGGUGCAGCAUGGCGCGUGCGGGAGAAGACAGCGGGGAAAGCUAGAGCGGCGGUCGACUGGGGAGUGACGCGUGGGGACUGCUAGAUGCAGGAGGUGGCGCUGGUCGGGCUGUAGCGAUGGCGAGCAGCGGCGGAAGGUAGUUCGGGCGGAUGGCAGUGCGGCGCGGUAAGGCGGGGAGAGGCCAGCGUGAGGCCGGGAAAGCGAUGGCGGGAUGCAGGAGCGGCAUGUGGUGCACAGAGGGGCGGCGCAGAGCAGUUAAAGCUCGGCACAUGGCCGGCGAAGCGGCGGCAGGCAUCGGGCAGAGCGAAGGUAGGACGGAGCAGAGCAGGGGGGCGAAAGGUAGACGAAGGGACUGACUCGCAAUUUUUCAAAAAUACAGGGACUCUACUGUAAUGUCUAGAUAACUUUCAAACCAUAGCUUAAAUUAAAAUGUGCCCAAAAGCAAAAGUGUAGAGGUCAACAAGAUCUACAACUUUGCUUUAAGGUUCGGUUGCAAAAGAGCUAAAGAUUUGAAACUAGCAUAAAACUUGGUAAAGUUUUAAACUUUAAGUAAAUCCUAUGUAGAAUUCUACACUACACUUGCGCAUCCUAUGGGUAGUUUUAUCUCUAUUUGAGGUUAAAAGUAAGUUCUUGACUUUUCACACAACAACCUUUAUAUGUUUUGAUUUUUACUUCCCAUUCUCACCCAUUUAACACUAAAGGACCUAAAUUUUGCAUUCCAAUUUAAACACAUAUACACAUGAUCAACAUGCACACUUAAUACUAGAAUUUAGUGGGUUUAUAAUUCUAAUACCUGAAUGUUACAGUUUCCGUAACUAUUAUAUCUAUUUGCACAAAUACCUCGACGGUUUCCAAUUGUUAAUACAUAAAGUCCGAUAAGCAUGUCUUGGGUUGUCACGCAAAUAGGAUCUCCAAUAGUGGGAGACAUGAGAUUCAUAUGAGAAAACAUAAGUAAAUGGGCUUCCUCGUGAGCUUCCAAGGAUAAAGGUAGAUGAACAGCCAUUUGAUUCCCAUCAAAGUCCGCAUUGAAACCCUUACACACUAAUGGAUGCAAACAAAUAGUACGCCCCUCUACUAAAGUGGGUUGGAAGGCCUAUAUGUCUAAUCUAUGCAGGGUAGGUGCUCUGUUCAACAGUAUAGGAUGUCCCCGCAUAACUUCUUGAAGUAUUUCCCAUACAAUGGGUUCCUUUUCCAAAAUUUUCCUUUUAGCGAUCCUGACAUUAGAAGUAGCACAUUUCAUGAUUAAAUUGCGAAUUAAAAAUAGCUGAAAAAGCUUUAUUGCUAUCUCUAGAGGUAAUCCACAUUAAUGUAAUGAAAGUGAAGGACGCACAAAGAUGACAGCACGCCCCGAGUAAUCAACCGGUUUCCCAAGCAGAGUCUCGCGAGACCUCCCCUCUUUACCCUCAAUUACAUUUGAAAGUGAUUUCUAUACUUUAUUGUGACCAUCCAUUGUCGGUUGCCCGCAGGAUCCACUAUCAAGAAGUGUAUCCAUGGCUUCUUGUACCAAUUUUUGCUGGCACAUUACUAAAUUUGCUGGUGCUAAUUCACUUCUUUUUAAUAGAUAGGCAAGGUUGUUGUUCCGAUGGAUAACUCUCUUAUAAAGUUCAUUAAUAUCUGAAGUCACUACUUUAUCCCCAGACCUAUAAACAAUGGGUCUCAAUUCAGGAGGAAGAACUGGUAAUAAGCACAAAACCAUCCAUUCUGGUUCUACAUUUGUUUGAAUAAAAUGUUUCGCCAAUUGCAUGUGUCUAAUAGAAAAAACUUUUCUUAUUCAUUUUUUCUAUCUUCCUAUUCAUCUCUACUAUACCCCUCGUCUUCUAAUUCUUUCUAUUCAACCAAGGAAUUCUCUAUAAUAAUUCGCAUAUCCAAAUCUGCUAAUUGUUCUCUAAUAGCACCUGCUCCUAUCGCAAUUUCCCGAUUUCAAAAUGUUGCAAAGCCUGGGGUAGAAAAAAGGGAGAAAUACCGUGGUUACAUGAUGAAAUUUCAUAUUCGAAUAAACCCCAUAAUCGUAUGAAAUUAGGGUUUUUAGUGCUGGGCCUAGCCAAAGAGAAAUCACCAUAUACUAGGCCCUCCAAUUUCUUAAGGGGUUUAUCUAAAAGAUUCGCGAUAUAACUAGGAAGACCUUUCAAAUUCCACAUAUGAGUCUCUGGACAUGCCAGUUUUAUGUAGCCCAUUUGAUAUCUUCGUAUCCGAGAAUCAACAAAUUCUACCCCGCAUUUUUAGCAAAAUCUUUUGUUUUCGUUUUCAGCUACGCUCGCUCGAGAAUUUCCACAAGCACAAAUUCCUCUAUUUAUGGGUCCAAAGAUUCUUUCACAAAAGAAUCCAUCUUUUUCUAGUUUAUCGGUUUUAUAAUGAAAAGUGGAGGGCCUUGUGACUUCGCCAAUGACUUCCCCAUUAGGUAGGAUUUUUUUUAGCCCAAGCCCUUAAUUGUUGAGGGGAAACGAGUCAAAUUUGAAGUUGUUUAUGUUUAUAUUGGUCAAUCAUAAAAUAGAAAUAAGAAAAGAAUUUAUAUUUAUUCCAAUCAAACAUCCUCCCUAUUAACCUGGAAGUUCUUCUCAGGUAUAAGGAAAUGGUUCAGUUCUAGAGCUAAAGAUCGUAGUUCUGGAACGAGCACUUGAAAAGAUUCUGCAGGAUCCUUGUGAUUAGGCACUCUUUUUCCCUGGAUCGUAGCAUUAAGUAUUUCUUGGCGAGGUAUAAGAUGAUCAGAUUUAUAACUAAGUAUCUCUUGUAAAAUAUGAGCAACACCAAAUCCUUCUAAAGCCCAAACUUCCAUUUCUCCUACUCGUUGUCCCCCUUGCUUAGCUCUUCCUCUAACGGGCUGUUGGGUAACAAGUGAGUAGGGCCCAGCAGAACAUCCAUGAAUUUUUUCAUCAACUUGAUGAAUUAAUUUUAAGAUAUAGGACUUCCCUAUUAGAACAGGCUGUUCGAAGAGAUCUCCUAUUCUUCCAUCAAAUAUUAUGCUUUUUCCCGAGUACUCGGGUUCAAAUACCCAUGGAUUUUUUGUUUGUUUAGUAGCUUCAUAUAGCUUUCUUGAAGCCUCUUGCUAAAAUCUCUCAUGAAAGGGUGCUAUUCUAUAAUGUUUCUUUAGCAGAUCCCUUGCUAAUCCGAGCGAGCUUUCAAAUAUUUUUUCCCACAUUCAUUCGUGAGGGUACUCCUAAGGGAUUGAAGACCAUAUCAACUGGUGUUCCAUCUUGCAAAUAGGGCAUAUCUUGCCUAGGCAAGAUUUUUGAAAUGAUCCCCUUAUUCCCGUGUCUUCCGGCUACUUUAUCCCAAACUUUGAUUUCACGCUUCUGUAAAAUAUAUACACGAACCAUUAUGUCAAGGGGGUCCCUCUGGAUCCAUUUAAUAUCAAUAACAUGCCCUCUUCCACCUAUAGGUAGUUUUAGAGAAGUUUCUUUUGAAGUGGAUACCUCAAGACCAAAAAUAGCCCGUAAUAAUCCAGCUUCCGCGAUAUACGAUGAUUCGCUUGCUAUCUGAGGCAUUAAUUUACCUAUUAAAAUAUCGCCAGUUUCUACCUAGGAUCCCAACUUCACAACUCCAUUUCUAUCCAAAUUGCAGAGUAAAUGUUCUUCUAGAUGUGGUAUUUCUUUAGUGAUUUUUUCAGUGGAGCCUUGGCUUGUCGUAUCCGUCUAACUUUCAUAUUUUUGGAUAUGAAAAGAAGUAUAAAUAUCCUCAUAUACCAAAUGUUCGCUAAUUAGUACUGCAUCUUCAAAAUUGUAACCCUCAUAGGGCAUGUAAGCUACUAAAAUGUUUUUUCCUAAAGCAAGUUCCCGAUCCCCAGCAACUGUAUCUACUCUCUCCACUAAAAUUUGCCCUUUUUUAAUGGAUUUAGCCUACAGAACCCGAGGGUUUUGGUGCAUACAAGUAUUAUUGUUAGAGCGCCAAUGGGCAACUAAAGGAAUACUUAUGCUUUUCCCACUACUUGAUAAAAGGAUCUUAUGAUUAUCACUAGAAAUUAUCUUUCACUCGCAUUCGGCUAUAAUGGAAACCCUCGAAUCUAGAGCAGUUUGGCAUUCUAAUCUAGUUCCAACAAUGCACUUCUCGGACCAAGAAAGUGGAAUUGCUUGGCGUUGCAUAUUAGAACUCAUUAAAGCCCGAUGCGCAUCAUUAUGGUCAAUAAAAGGAAUGAGAGAACCCCCAAUACAAAAAUAUUGGAAAGGGAAAAUACUUCUAACAUAAAUCUGUUCCCAUGCAAUAGUGAGGAAUUCUUGACGGUAUCUAGAUGGAACAACCUGUUCUUCCUGAAUACCCUGAUUCAAGGAUAAAGAAUUUCCUGCUACUAUCAUAUAAUAUUCAUCUCUAUUGGGUGAUAAAUAAACCACAUGUCUCUCUUUUUUUUCUUUUGCCUGCUCAGAUAUUUCUGUUGUCGGUAAAAACCCGCGACGAGGAGCCGGGAGGCUUCCGAGACUGCUGGUGGGCCCCGGUCCCUCGGUCAACGGCCCAGAGAUCCAGCACACGCCCUGGCUUCAGAGUCGCUAGGCGUGCCACCUGACCCUAUACCUGAUCAGGAAGGUGUCAUGUAUUAAAUUCCUACAUGCACAGACAUGGGCAAACAUUAAUCCGAGCCGUGAUCGGCUCAUCGCUUCCUUCUCGGUAUCGGCUGUAAAGAGCCGAUUGCAUCAACACCGGGUCGGCUCUAUAAGUAAGCAAUAUAUGUACUCGAUAACGACAUAAAUCCCGCUCCAUAAAUAUUAAUCUAAUCCAAUCUACGAUGAUUAAAACCCUCACUGCAUAAUCGGAACAUCUUAUGCGUGAUUGAGCCUAAUGAAUACCAAAAAGUAACGAAAUAACAACCUAAACAGAGGCCUAAAAACCAACCGAAAAGCCGAUUCCCGGAACAAUCUCCUUUUAAGCUGCUACCCGACACUAAUUACACCGCCGGAACUUUCAACUCGUUUGCAAAGCCUAAUCAUGCAGAUAUUAAGCUAAAUCUCUGAUGAUCAGAAACUAAUCAUAACAGAUUGGAUCUACUAAUAAGAAUAAAGCAAGAUGCAACCAUCGCACCUGAGAUCAGACGCGAUGAUUACUAAACACUCAUAAGUAACAAAAUAGAGCACGAUCAGAAUAUGAAGAAAUUAACGUUACUCUAUGCGUGUUAAGAUAACCAGUGCUACUCGUCAUCAACAAUGCUUCAGAAUGAGAAACACAUAAAAUAAAGGAGCAAGGGCGAUGCUACCCCGAUCACGCAGAGCGUGAUCGGGGUCGCACGGCACUUACCCGAGAAAACCCUAGAACAGGGGAGGCGAUGCGCUGAGAGUUGUUGAUGAAUGAUUCCGUUCUUAUUGUUUACUCAUGAUACAUAUUUAUAGUCCGUAGACUUGUCUUUCUUAACCAACCCUAACCAAACAUGACACGAAUCUUAACUAUUUAUAUCUAAACUAUUUACACGGCCUCCCUGGGCCCAGAACAUCUGCUCACGGUCCGAUUCGCAAGCCCAUUAUAGUUAUCCUCCAAACCCAUCUUGCUCCACGGCCCACUUCCGGCCUGUCCAAAUUAUGGCGAUAACACAUGCCCCCCUGGUUUCGGCAAUGAUAAUUCCGAAAUCAACUCCUUUUUAAACGCCUCGACUCUUCGACUUCCGAAACCCGUACAGUCGUGCCUCUUCAACUUCCAGGGGAUGUGACCGCUCUGCAUCAGACUCCUUGGGAACCAUUAUGGUGUCGAUUCACUUCGCCUCCCCCUUUGCCUUUAUAAACUUACCCCCGGCAUCUUCCUUAAUCGCCUUCUUUCUACAGCCACUGGCAACCACAUCUAAACCAUCCUCUAUUGUUCUUGCGAUGGCUGCUUCUUCUUCCUCUGCCUCUUCUGUUAUUUCUUUUGAAUUCGAACCUUCUCGAGAGCCCACUCCAGAAUAUGAUCCGAUAGCUGCUUAUGUAAUCCUUGCCCCCUGCAUUGGGAUGCAGAGGAGUGGGACUUCCAAUCUCAGUCAGAGGAUGAUGAAUCCCUGACUGAUGACGAAGAUCUCACUCUUCUUCUUGGAGCCGAGCUGGAGGAGGACGAUGAAGACGAUGCAUCCUGGGAAGAGGAGCUCUCCUCCUCGGAGGAAAAAGCCGAUUCCUUCUCAACCGAAGAAGAUUCAGUAGCAGGUAACUUCAUCUUCGGCGGGUCAUCAGAUGAAGCUACCGACAACAUCGAAGAAGCCGAAGAUGAUGGCGGCUUCACCAGCAACAGCAAUGGGAGCGACGAUAGCAGCAACAGCGACGGUGACGACAGUGACGUCAGUACGGCUCUGCCAACCAAGCGCCGCAAGACCUCUGGCGUGUACUGGUGGUAGGCUAUAGUACUAAGCCGAUAGUCCGGCUCUAGGAGCAAUCGACUCCCCCUUUUGUACUUGCUUCCUUGUUGUAAAUAAAAAAUCCUCUUUUGCGUCCGUAAGUUCUUGGAACACAACGAUCUGCUCAAGAGCUGAUGGCAACGCAUCGGCCUUAGAAUAUACUGAUCCGGAUUCGAAAUGGUUCUCCAAUUCAUUUAAUUCUCCACUCGAACUCGAAUCCUUCUCCAACAUAGAUCUCUGGAGAUUCCCAAAAUCCAGGUUAACUUCCAAAAACCCCUUUGCUCAUAAACCCUAGCCACGGAAUUCUCCUCCGAACCUCAGAACACACAUUCAAUCUUGCGCCACCAACCAUAGAUCUACUCCCCAAGUUCUCGAUUUCAUCAGGGUUCCCGAUGGUGGAGUCUUCGAAUAUUGCCAUUACUGUCUUCGGUCUGAAGGUAAAACUCCAACCCCCUUUACUUUAAUGCAGUAGUCACAAAAUUCAUUGCGCUGUUAAAUGACUCCUUCUUCGACUAUUUUGUCUUUCUUGGGGUUUUUUCAGGCUUCCGAUAUCCUCUUACCGCAUCCUUCUUCCCCCAAUUCUUUCUGUCUUGGGCCUCGUUCUUACAAGAACCCCGUAGAUCUAAUUUCCUACGAGGCUAAUCGAAUCCCCUUCGUGAGCCAAGAUAUAGCUCUAGAAUCUUGUUCCGAUAGCCUUCGCGCUUGGCCAAACCCUCCGAAGGGCUGGGUAGUUUGGUAUAACAGGGUGGCGGACACCUACUAGCCUUUAUGGGAAUCCAUCGGAAUAGCCGAUGCUUUGUCUCUAUCUCUUUCCCCUCUUGAAGAGGAUGAGAACCUUCUGAAGACCAUCGGCUAUUUCUGGUCUGAUGCCUUAAAUUGUUUCCUCUUUGGGCAUGGCCCGAUGACCCCAACUCUUCUGGAUGUUAUGAUGAUUACCAGUUUAGACAUCUCAUCAUCUUGUCCCUCUGCUUAUAGGCUUUCUGUAGUUCCUUUCAAAUUAUCUUCCAAAGCAGAGUGCACUAACUGGAGCACAUACUUAAGCCAGCAUCUGAAAACAAAGGGUCCUGUGACAGAAAAGGAACACACAGCCUUCCUGAAUUUAUGGCAUGAGCAUUUUCUCUUCCGUGGCCCUUCACUUGCUCCAACCAAAAAUUACCUUCCUCUGGCAUAAGAGCUGGCCAAAGGUCACACUGUUGGCCUUGGUAAAUUAUUCCUUGGGAAAAUCUACAAAUAUCUUCAUCUGACGUCCUUGAGUCUUCUUUCUCAGAAAAAACUCAGGACUGGUGGCCCCUGGUGGUUCAUCCAGUUAUGGACUCACCUUUACUUCCAAGGUUCCAUCCCAAAUUUCCCCUCUCUGGUUAACAACUCUUUUCCAGAUCAGAGUGGGAGACAGAUCAGGUGUACUAGCUUCGGACAGGCUUUAUACAGCCUCUCUGGCGGGAAGCUAAGUCCUCCAGAUGCCUCUCGUUGGUUCAGGAUUUUUUACAAAGGCCUGGACAACCCAAACUUUCUCCCAUAUGCCGAUUCUGAACUCUUUGAGAACCCAGCCACAUUCCGGCUAGCUGAUUUCACCCAUGAUACUAAUACCAGGCACCUGUACUCCAUCAUGGUCCGUCCCUGCCUCCUCCCAGUUGGCAUGAGUACUUCUAACCGGAUUAUUAAGCCAGGAUAUGAGUUUUACCAGCCGGUCGUAGCAGCCCGGCAAUUUGGUCUUGGGCAAGUGCCUCCACAUUUCCUCCUUCAUCAUCUAACAUCAAGUAGAGUAGACCUGCCUGAUGCUGUCACCACCCAACGAUGUUACUGUCUAUUUUCAGACCUCUCCAUCCCGAUUCCUGUCGAUCUUGCCUUUACUUCUUCGACUGUUGACUUCGAGGGCUGGUGGUUGAUGUGGAAGAAUCACGUUUUCCGAAAAGCUUUGAGGCCAAUGCUGCAACAAAUCCACGCUGAAUAUGAGAUCCUUGACGGAGAGGUAUUGCUGCUCGCCCAUUGUUUCUCUUUUUGACUUUACUAAAUCUUUUCUGAUUUCAUUUUCUAUUUCUGCAGCAGGAGGAUGGCCCAGAGCCGACGAAUGAUGAUGGAUCUCCCUUCCGGUUCUCGCCAGUUGCCCCUAUGGUUCUUUUCAGCAAAAACACGCCUCCUCCUUUGAAAGGUAUCAUGCAGAUUCAGCCCGGAAUCGCAAAGCUAACCCCCAAACGGAGACGAUCUUCAGAGGUUGUUGCUCCCCGGGCUCGCGCUAAGACAAGGAAGGUACUUGUCAGGAAGAUCCGGAAAGAAAUUGUGCCGUCUUCCUCCAGCCAAGAAGCUCCAGUGGGGACCAUCCCCUUUCAUAAUCGGCCUUCUGUUCCUGCCCAUUCUCUUUAAUUAUACUCUCUUUCCCUGCAGCCCAUCGUCGUGGACGUCUCCAGUGGGGAAGAACCCCCACACCAUAAGGACUCAGCUUCAGAGGUUCCAAAGGAUGUGGAAGUGCCCAUCAGAGCUCUGAUUACUCUUCGUGAUCCUAACACAACAGUUCUGGAGGGCCCCUCUACGCUGGUUAAUGUCCCGGUCACCUCACCAGGUUUGCAGGAGCCGGUCGUGGCCGCGUCAAUCACCAGCUCCCCUCUGGAAGAACCAUCCAUUGCCUCGGCCACUGCCAAUCUUUCUGCACGAGAGACAUGCCUCCUAGAGCCGACUGCUAUCUCAUCGGCUGCUGCUCCCUCUUCUGAAAAGGUGAUUCCUCCGGACCCAACCUUCGCUUGUCCCGCUGUCAAUGUUCAUCCUUCAGAAGGGAUGCACCUUCAGGAGCUGACCACUUCUUCAUCGGCUGUCGCCACCUCUCUCCCAGGACAGGUAUGCUUUACUACCAAGUUAUUUUCGCCCCUUUCUGCAAUGCCCUACUCACUCGCCUUUCUUCCAGAGUUUGAACCUUUCAGAACUACUUGCAUUUGAUCCUGCAUCCAUUGGGUCGGCCAUACUAGAAGCCAAUGACCCUCAACCGGACUCGACCAGCACCCCCAGUCGGCUUCUCCGCAUGAAGGAUCUUUUUUUGGGUCCGAUCGACGCCUUGAUGCAGGAUUCCAGCGCGGUAAAGCAAAUCCUUGAUGAAGUCAACUCCCAGCUUCCCAUGAGUCUUCAGGUCAAGCUCCUGCCGGCCGGGCACCUCCCCUCUUUUUGAGCAAAAGUAGCAGAGGCUCGCCAUAGGAUUGAGACCAGGCGCUCUCAAUUCCCCUUGAGAACCAACAUUGCCGAGAGGUGUCAGUCGGUCAAUAAGAAGAAAGCUGCUCUAGACGCCAAGGCUGACACGUCUGUCUCCACCCGACGGCUUCAUCUUCAGGAGAAGGAUCUAGAGGAUCUCGAGGCCAAAGUCCGGGCCACCAAACAGCGCAUCCAAGAAGAGAAAGACCUUAUCGCAAGCUCCAAAUGGGAGGCGGAAGCCCUGACCGCUGAACUAAAGGUGGACCUGGCCGAGCUGAGUGGCCUGAGCAAACAAGUGAUGCCAGGGGCGGACGAAGAGGAUGAAGCAGUGAUCCCUGAAGUUGAUCGCGUCCGUCUCGAUGCCAUUGCUGCUAUUGAUGAUUUCCUUCAGAAAACCUGUUUAAGAUGAACUUUGUAUUCGCAUAUCUUAACUCUAAAGUCGAUGGUCACGCAUCGGCUAUUUGGUGACCUGUUAUGUCAAUUACUCCAAAAAACUCUAAAGUCGAUGGUCUCACAUCGGCUAUUCUAAUAACUUAGGAAAUGCCUUUUCUUUAACGUGCGGGCCGAUCGCACGCAUCAGCCUCCUUUUUUCGUUCUUAUUUUGCCAAAAUAUCACCGGCUUCGUAGACCUGGGCCAUCGAGUUCUGUUGGUUCGCACCCUUCCGCACAACUCUAGCGCUACCUUAUUCAGGCUCAUUGGUCAUAUCGUCUUAUAGCCUGAUGCAUGACAUCGGCUUUACUGCUCAUCGGCCCACAUGCUUGGAAAGUAUCUCUUAAGAUGUUGACCGUUGACUGCCACUGGAAACUUGACACCAUCCAAUUCUUCAAGCAUAUAUGCAUUCCCAGGUAGGACCUGGUCAACCCUAUACGGCCCAUGCCAGUUUGGGGACCACUUGCCAUACGCUGCGUCCUUAGUUCCCAAUGGUAGUACUGCUUCCCAGACCAGAUUUCCUAUUUGAAAUUCCUUUGGUUUGACCUUCUUAUUAUACGCGCGGGCUACAUUGUCACUCAUCAGAGUAGCAUAUUCUUCAGCUGUUAAAUCAUUCUGGAUUUCAUCCUUUUGUGUUACCAAAGCUUGUAAUUCUUCUAUUUGGGUUACUUGAUGGUCAGCAUUCCGAUAGUGGCUUUGAGCCACACCAGUUAUCUGACUUACCCCAUGAUGCAGUAGCAUUUGGUAAUGAUAUUGCACAUCCAUAAACCUGGUAACGAUACGGACAGUUUCUUCAGCCAGAUCUCCUAGCAGAGACCAUGAUGGUCUGUCCGAAAAUCCCAGUCCAAAUUACCUGGGUCUAUAGUAGGAAAUAACCCAAUAGGAUAUGCGGCAACUUCAAUCGGAUGCUGAUUGCAGAAAAGUUUGAUAGCUUCUAAAGCAGCAGUUUCAAGAGUAUCCACUAGACGAUAUCCAACCACUUCCACCUCUAUGGGAGGCCAUAAGGAGCGGAAAGGGUGUUGAGGAAUUAUCAUCUUAACCCUGCAGCGGGGAGCUCCUUCUUCACGAUACUCUACCCCAUCAUACAGAGGAGGCUCUGUAUAAUGAAACAUACUCAAGGAUUCCCACAAAAGAUGAGGAAACCCUUCCCAAUGUAAACCAUUGGUAUGGAAGUGCCCUUCCUGAUCCCAAAAGGUAUUGGAAGGAGCAGCCAUCUGCGACAACAAUGCAAAUGGUAAGAUAUAUUUACCCUGCGGAAAGCUCACAAGGUAAAUGGAUUAAGAAAGUUGAUUCCGAUAACAGCAUAGGCUGGAAAUCAGAUGGAUAUUUAAGAGCUAAAGAUUGCUAUCUAUCCCAAUUAAGAGAUACCCACAUAUUACUUAUUUCUUAGAAAGCAUCGAAUGUAAACAUUCGUUUUGUUGAUUAGUGUGUUAUGCAUGCACGCACUAUGCGAUCUCACAACCAAAAGUAACUGCCAAGUAAUCUUGGUCUUACGUGGUUAGUUUCGGUGGCAUAAUACAUACGUCUCUCCUUAAUAACUAGUCGAUAAGCCCUAUCCGUCCUAGUUUCGUAAUCGUGGUUAGUGUACCUGCAGAAAACCACAAUGCAUAUAUAUAUAUCCAAUGAACCUUUCAUGCCAGCAUGUCAUGAAAGCGUCCCCAUUCAUUACUGCUCACUAUAGAAACAGCAUCUGUACAAUUACCGCCGUACAGACAACGUUAGCAUACAUUAUUGAAUAACGUAUUCACGGGGGUACCGCAAAAAUGCGGGGGUAUGAACAGCGAUCGUCAUACCCUGCGCCGAACCAUAUACUCCCAAUAUAGUCAACCGAGGUUGAUACAUUGGCAGCAUCUCAAGUAGGCCACUGCUUGAGAAACAGCAUUUGGUUCGCAUCACCGACAGGAAGGCCAAGCUCCCUCAGUUGGCUGAGGAUCCUUACCUUCUUACCUCACGAUCGAAGAUGUCGUUACAGAAAGUAAGGUUGGGUUGUGCAUAAAUUUAAGUUUCAACAGAAAAGUAAUGCUGGAAGUUAGAGUUAUAUAUAUAUAUAUGUUACAGCCACCUCUAAUUUUCCCUUAAAUAUCACCCUAGGGCUUUCGUACUAUACAUAAUCCUUAACGAACCAACGUAGUUCGUAAGUAUUUGAUUAAUCAAUUUUUAUACUGAAAAUUACUUUUUAAGGCUAAUUAUAACUCCAGGGUACACUUGUUAGCUCUGAUACCAGCUGUGGCAGAACCAACCUGAAUUAUACCGGCUCAAGUACGCGAGUCCUCACCGAAGGGCUACCUCGUACUUCAAACGGUAUAAAACUAUUGGUCUGUCGGGUAACGUCCUGAUAAACCACCGAACGCAGGAUCCAACAAGGUACCUCACACGAAGGUGAGUCCAGAGAUACAAUGCCAAAUAUCUUACAUCACGUCGUCAUUACAGAUAUUAUGCUAGCCCUGGCAUAAUAUCACUCGGCGGAAUCUGUGUUGGCCGGGGACGGAUCCCAUUCCACGGACCAACCAUCAGGCAAAGGGUAGGGCCACAGUGUAAUGAAAUCUGGCUCAUCAGGGAGAUUACCUGGAUUAAAUCAACAAAAGCAAGGCUGAGUAUACUAAUACUCAGCAAGACUUACCCGGAAUUGGGUAUACCUUAGCCCAUAACUAGACUCAUGAUGGCUUUUAGCUUUGGGUAAGAUUUUCAGCUGAAAAGCAACAAAGAGUAGAUCCUUAAUUUCAACUUUUAGCUUUCAGGUUCUAGUUGAUUAACCAUUCUAGGUAAGCACCUAUAACUAUUCAAACAUGGUAGAAUCUUUACUCAAACAUCAUCUUUGAUAAUCACAUAAUUACUCUUGUUACUCUAUGUGGUAAAGGGAAUCAGCAGUCUCAUACAUUGUGAGAGGCAGACGAUUCUGAAUCGAGAUUCAAUCCUUGCAAGGUAAACCUAACACACACGCUUGGAACACCACAGGGUCGUUCCGAAGCAACCGUUUACCUUUCAUUCCGACUCGUGGAUCAGAUCCACCACAAGCGACUGCAGGUCAUACGCACUUCCAAAGUGCAGGACGUACGUCUAUAGCGUGACUACAAAACCCGUACUCCUGGUUGCCCAGCAACACGUAUGCCUACACGUCGAACAAAGUAACCAAAAGAAGCAAAUACAUGUGGUGGGGGUAUGUCCACUCCUCGGGCCGAUCGGUUACUAGGCUUACCGCUUACCAUAUUUCACGGCAUGUGGCUAGUACUUUCAAACGCUUAACCACCGCUACCACGCACUGCGACCUUAUCAAAUUCAACAACACAGACGGGUAUCAUCUUGACCAUGAUACCUCAUAAAUUCCUGUCUGUUAUCCUUAUAAUGAUAACAAGAAUGUAAACAUCACAAUUCCUAUAUCGCGCGAGUGAUAGGGAAUCACUCGACUUCUACCGGUCCUAUAAGCAGAGCAACUAGUCGGACUCAAGUUCUAGGGUUCAAUACAUUGGUUCCUGGAGUAAUGCAACUAAGGUUUCCAAACAACUCCUAAGAACCUAAUGCAUAAAAAUAUAUAUAUAAAUAUUAUAGGUUGCAGUGUAAUAAAGUAGGGGUUAUGUCCGGGGCUUGCCUUCGCUAGUAGGGUUGGGGUUAGUCAAAUUAUUUUCUUCCGAACCUUGGUUCGAGGCUUCAGAGAAAUCCGCGACGAGAUUCCCGGGGUCUUCAGAAUAAACUUCUUCUUGUUCCGGGAUCAGUUGAUAAUCCCCGUCAGCGAGAGUGGUCGAGUCUACAUGAUAUGCAAGAUGAAGUUUAAUGGGUGCAUACAUUUUCAUUUCAAUUCACGAUAAAGUUGCAAUCCAAUUAAAGGAACAUUAUAUUUCAACAAACAACUUAACUACCCUGUACUGGGCAGUCAUUUAUCGAGUGCUAACUAAACUAACUAGUCUCGUUAGGCAACAGGGUGGGUUACCCUCAACAUCCAACUAACUACAUUAGGUAGCAUAUCUGAUUACCUUAAGCAACACUACAUACACUUAGCAAUCUCCAUUUAUUAGCUAAACAUUGUAAGUAAUUUUUUUUAUUAUUUAAUUAUGGUUAACCUUGAAUUAAUUUAGGCAAAUCGUAAAUUAGUAAAAAUAAAUUAAUACUUAUGAAAAUUACCCUAAGUGGGUUUAAUUGAAAUAACAUUACUCUAGAUAUUUUAUACAAUAGAUAAUUAGAACAACUCACUUAAUUAAACAAUGUGUUUAACUUGAAUGAAUUUUAUAGAGUAAAAUACUUCAAAACAGGGGCUACAAAAAUUACUAAACACAGAUUGAUAUCAGAUAUAUUUACUGUAGUUUUAUUGGAUUUUUAUUCUAAAAGGAACUAAGCCACCAAAUUAAACAAGAUCAAUAUUGAAAUUUCAAGAUGCAAGUAUAACUGGAGUUUUACACUAAAACUAGGGUUCAAAUGUUAAGGACAUUAUAACCUACUCAAGAUUAGCAUCCCAGAAAAGUUUCAUAAUUUUUCAUGCAUAAUAAUUAUUGUUUAUGAAUUACCUUUGAAUCUAAGCUUGAACUUUAUAACUCAAGUUAUAUUAGGUUUCUGAUUCUCAAAUUUUUAUGAUGGAUCAUACUUAUAAAGAUCAAGUCAGGGUACAAAUUUCAUCCCUAAAUAUACAAAGAUGCUUCUGAAAUUAAUUUGUGAAGCUUUCAUUAACAUAUAGCAAAGGUAGUAAAAUAUUCAAGCUAGAGGGUUGAUCUAAGCCUCAAAACUUCACACAAGGCUACUUACAUCACAUACAACACAUGCUCCAAAAACCAACAGCAGCAAGGCUAUGGAUUACAAGAUUCAAAUUAAAACUCCCUUUACUUGUAUUUAAAAUACAGCACAAACUAUGCAUUUUCAUAACAUGCUUAUGAAACAAAAGUUGUAGAUUUCAUCACCAGGAUUCAAACCCAAUUGAUUUGACAUUUUUCUGAUUUUUCUACUGUUUUCUAUACAUUUCUAAAGUUCACAGCAGGAAAUAAAGAAAACUUAAAUAAACUUUACAUAACAGCCCCUAGAUUUAGCACAAAACCCCCUGGAACUUCCUUUUCUUCUCCAACGGAGCCCCCGGCCAUGGUCAGAGAUGGGGAGGCGGGAAUUGACCGGCUAAAUCCGGUGAGCUCGGGUCACGGCGGCAAGGGAAGAGAGGGGGAUUAGCUAGAGGAGAUCGGGGGCUACCUUGGGAGGGGCUUGAUUGGGCUUCUAGGGUCGUGUAGCGGCCUGCCCGCAUAGAGCAGAUGGGCGGCGGCGGAAAAUGGCCUCGACGGCGGCACUCCGGGUGAGCUGGGAGGCGAUGGCCGGGCCUAGCAGCUUCAGGGAACUAGGGGAGAGCUCCUAGUGGUGUUGGAUUGGGCGGAGGAGGGCUGCAGGAGUGGACCCACGGUGGCGUCGAGCUCGCCGGGGCUGCGGAAGAAUGGCGACGGCGUUCCGGUGUCUAGGGGCGAGGAAAUGACUAGCUAAUGGGAGGAAUGGGUCGAGGAGGCUCGUGCGGUACUGAUGCGCCCACAAGAUAGAGCUCAGGGGGUCUCCAAUGCUUCCUCCACGCGGCGGGGUGGCGAGCAGAGAGAGGCCGGCGUUCAGGCGGCGCUGGCAGUACCAGCACGUCGUGGCACUCGGUUGGAAUGCCAGCACCGGGGAUUAGGAGCGGUGGUAGGGCUGUGGAGCGACGCGUGGAAGAAAACUUAGCAGGAGGUGGUGCUCGGGAUGUUGUGCCGGCGAUGGGCGGUGGGAGCAGAAACAGAACAGAGAGGAAGCGAGGAUGACAGAGGAAGAAGAACAGGCAAGUGUCAGAAGGACCCGCUUGCAAAUAGAAAAACUUCCAGGAACCCCUCUGUAAAGAAAGAAUUCCCGUUGAUACAAAAGCCUAGUGAGAAAAGUGUCUAAAGCAAAGUUGUAGAGAAUUUCAAAUACUACAAGAAUGCUUUAGAGCUCGAGUUCAAAAUCUCAAAGGGUACGGUUUUAUUUUGAACUUUUGAACACAACUCAAUUUAUAAACUUUGUGUUACAAUUUAAACAAAAUGCUCUAAUGUUUGGGGUCACUUUGUAAGAUUUUCUGCAGUAAUCAUGACUAGUUCUUUUUACACUUUAGCCCUUAGGUAAACUAAGUUUUACUUUUAUCUUUCAACCAUUUUAUAUGUAAGUCCUUAUAUCUUUGUAUUGAUCACAUAAAGGUCCUUAGUUUCAUAUAAGGUCUAUUUCCCUUAGGUUUAUUUAACUUUUGCUCUUUUCUUUUCUAUAGCCAUCUGAAUUUGACACUUAAGAACAUUUUCACACACUUGCACACAAGAAUUUAUAAAACUCAUAAUUUACAAAUAUACCCCUAUUGCUUUGUACAACUUGUAUAUAUACCAUAUCAUGUAUCCAUACAAUACAUCCAAACUUACUAUCUCAUUGUCUAACUACCGGAAUAUUACAAAAACCGCCUGGCGCCGUCGUGAAGGGCCCGAUCAUGUCGAGACUCCAACAAGCAAAAGGCCAAGAUGGCGGUAUAGUGAUGAGGCUGUGGGCCGGAACAUGCGUCUGUUUGCUGAAGAAUUGACAAUUUUGGCACCUGCACACGAGAUCCUCCGCGUCGGUGACUGCAGUGGGCCACCAGAAGCUAGCCCUGUAUGCUUUCCCAACCAGCGUUCUUGAAGCCGCAUGGUUGCCGCAGACGCCUUCGUGGAUCUCCCGCAGUAUGUCGUAACCAUCUUCCUUCGUGACGCACUUCAUGAGAACUCCUGACCGAGCGCCACGCCGGUAGAGCUUGCCGUUGACCAGGGCGAAGCCCUUGCUUCUUCGCAAGACGCAUGCCGCUUCUGCACUCUUGGCAUCAAUUCCCGCUGGUAGCCAUUGGUCUUGAAUGAAGUCGAUAAAGGCCGCUUGCCAGUCCUCCCCCAGCACCAUAACCUCUCAAUCGGGUUGUUGGGAACCCGAGUCGAUGGUUACCUGCGGAGAAGGCUUGAUGGAUGGCUGAUCGAGCUCCUGGACGAAAACUCCCGACAGGACUUGAGCGCGCGUUGACCCCAACUUGGACAGGAUAUCCGCACCAACAUUGUGCUCCCGUAGCACAUGGUGAACCUCCAAGCCGAAAAACUUGCUUUCCAGCUUGCGCACUUCCUGUACGUAUGCAUCCAUUGUCUCCUUGUUGCAGUCCCAUUCCUUAUUGACCUGCUGAACAACAAGAAGAGAAUCGCCAUAUACGAGUAGUCACUUGAUCCCUAGUGAUAUCGCCAAACGAAGCCCGUGAAGCAAGGCUUCAUACUCGGCUUCAUUAUUGGAUACCUUCCAUAGGAUCUGAAGGACGUACUUCAGUUGUUCGCCACGUGGGGAGAUAAGCAAAACACCAGCGCCCCCGCCGUCGAGCUUGAGGGACCCAUCAAAAUACAUGGUCCAGUGCUCUGGCUUGUCCACUGGGGUUGGGACUUGAUUCUCCCUCCAUUCAGCCAUGAAGUCGACUGGAGCCUGUGACUUGAUUGCAGUGCGUGGCUUGAAGUCGAUUGACAAAGCCCCCAGUUCCACUGCCCACUUAGAUAUGCGUCCUGUGGCAUCUUGAUUAUGGAGAAUAUCCGCCAGCGGGAAAUCCGUAAUCACAGUGAUCUUGUACUCGUCGAAGUAAUGGCGCAACUUCCUUGAUGUAAUUAGAAUUGCAUAUAAGAGCUUUUGAACAGCUGGGUACCGUACCUUUGAUUCGGAGAGGACCUCGCUGACGAAGUAGACAGGCCUCUGCACUCCAAACGCAUGGCCUUCUUCGCCUCGCUCGACUACAAUAGCACUGCUGACAACGUGGGUUGUCGCCGCGAUGUAGAGUAGUAGAUCCUCUUCCGGUAGCGGAGCUGUAAGGAUCGGAGGCGACUGGAGGUGAAUUUUCAAGUCUUGUAGAGCCUGCUCGGCCUCCUCCGUCCAUUGAAACUUGUCUUGGCGUUUUAGGAGCUUGAAGAAAGGUAGUCCUCUCUCCCCGAGUCGGGAGAUGAACCUGUUCAGGGCUGCCAUACAACCUGUCAGCUUCUACACAUCCUUGAUUGUGGCCGGAGCCUCCAUAUCAGUAAUGGCAGUGAUCUUUACAGGGUUGGCUUCGAUGCCCCGGUUGCUGACGAUGAACCCGAGCAAUUUCCCUGAAGGUACUCCAAAAACGCACUUGGUGGGAUUGAGUUUCCACCGAUAUCUGCGUAGACUGCUAAAUGUUUCUUCCAAAUCUGCGAUCAAGUUAUCGGAAUCCCUGGUCUUGAUGACCACGUCAUCCACAUAGGCCUCAACAUUCCGGUGCAGCUGAUCCGCCAAACACAUCUGGAUCGCACGCUGAUAUGUUGCUCCUGCAUUCUUCAACCCGAAGGACAUUGUUUUGUAGGCGUAAGUCCCGUACGGGGUGAUGAAUGCAGUCUUGAUUUGGUCCUCCUCCUUGAGCGCAAUCUGAUGAUACCCUGAAUAACAAUCAAGAAAACAAAGAAGGACACAUCAGGCCGUCGAAUCGACGACUUGGUCAAUGCGCGGCAGCCCAAAAUGAUCUUUUGGGCAAUGCUUGUUGAGAUCGGUGUAGUCGACACACAUUCUCCAUUCAUUGUUCUUUUUCUUUACAAGGACGGAAUUCACUACCCACUCUGGAUGGAUUACUUCUUUAAUGAAUCCAGCCGCGAGAAGUUUAGCGAUCUCCCGUUUAAUGGCCUCACGCUUGUCGUGGGCACCGCAGGCGUUGCUUCUUAGGCGUAGCCUUCGGGUGUACAUUCAAAGCAUGCUCGAUCAACUCCCUGGGCACCCUUGGCAUAUCCGCUGGUUUCCAUGCGAAUAUGUCUCAGUUAGCCCGAAGAAAGCUGACGAGCGCGAGUUCCUAUUUGUCACCCAAGCCCGCACCGAUGAUGGCGGUCUUGGAUGAAUCUCCCUCCUAGAGCUGGAUCGUCUUGAGGGCCACAUCAUCAGUCGACUGGAUGCUCGACUUGUUGGCCUUCUUGGAAGGAAUCUCCAGCCCGGUCUGGGAGAGCUGCUGCGUGGCCGCGAAUACUUCUCCCAAAGCAUCUGGCAUGCGAGUAGUCGAAGCGUACUGGAUCGCCUCCUGAUUGCAGUCGUACGACUUCUUCAAGUCACCGCGGAGGGUGAGCACUCCACCGAGUCCUGGCAUCUUAAGAAGCAGAUAGACAUAAUGCGGCACUGCCAUGAACUUGGCAAGUGCCGGUCGACCCAGUAUUGCAUGGUAAGAAGAGUCAAAAGUAGCCACUUCGAACUUGAUGAAUUCAGUACGAUAAUUCUCCCGCGUGCCGAAGGUGACUGGGAGGACCACCGUACCAAGCGGGUGUGCCGCAUUACCUGGGACGAUGCCGUAGAAGGGGGACUUGCUGGGAGCCAGCAUAUCCUUGAAAUCCAGACCCAUCUUCUUCAAAGUGCUAACGAAGAUGAGAUUGAGCCCACUCCCGCCAUCGAUCAGGACCUUGGUAAGCUUAACCUCUGCCACCACAGGAUCCAGGACCAAAGGGAACUUACCGGGCUCUGAAAAGCUCGUCCACUGGUCAUCACGAGAGAAUGAGAUGGGGACCUCCGACCAACGGAGUGGUCGUGGUACCGCCAGCUCAAUGGACAAGAUCUCCCGAAGAAGCAGCUUCUGGUCCCGCCUGGAACCGAAAUCCUCAUCUCCUCCGAAGAUAACGUUGACGACCUUCGAGGCAUCCUGCAGACAGUCGCUCCUUUCCCUGAUCCUUCUCUAUGGCAUCACGGCCCCACCUGUCAUCUACUUUUCAGGCCCAACCCGUGCACGGGGAGAGCUCGGACUCCCCGCACAGCACCCCUAUAAAGGUCGAGCCAAAACCCUCGGGCCUGUGCCCUACCCUGCCGCCGUACGCCCCUGCUGCUCGUGCCUUUUUUUUCCCCCUCGUGUGCAGCCCCUGCGUCCUCCCCUGCGCAGCAGCGCACCAGCGCCGCCAUCGCCCAGGCCGUGCCCCUGCUCCUGCUGCGCAUGGGCAUCACCGCCCUGGCCCCUGCGUCGCGCCCCCUGCAGGCCGGCCCUGCCGCCCCCGCCUGCCUCUCUCCUGCAGCGCAGCCGCCCCUACCCAGCAGAGCAGGCCGUCACCAUGCUCCUGUGAUCUGCCGCUGCCUCCCCUGGCCCCAUCUGCCGUGCCGCUUUUUCCCUGCCUGUGCGCACCAGCCAGCCUCCUCGGCGCCCUGCUCCUCCUCCAGCGCCGUAGCGCCGCCCUGCUCCUUUCCGCUAGCGCUGCUGUGCUCCUUCCCCCAUGCGCCGCCACCAGGAGCCGGGACAGGCGCCAGCCACCCGAAGCACGAGCAGAAGCGUCGCCGCCCGAUCAAAAGCAGCGUCGACCUGCCCUGUGCGCCGUGCUCCUCCGCGCGCCCCGCCCUACAGCCGCGCUCGCCCCCUGUGCCACCCCCCUGCCACUUUUCCCCCCAGCGGGAGCGCUGCCACCAUGAGCAACCGCCCAGAACAGAAGAACAGACCGCCGGCGCCUUUUUCUCCCGCGAAAUUCGAUCGCCACGAUGCAUUUCCGCGGUAAGUUAGGUAUGGAAUUGAAUCCCCUUGUUGUCCUCUUUCUUUUCCCCCACUUCCCGCGACCUCUCGUGCCCUAAAUCGCCGGCAAUUUGAAGAACAGUAGCCGCCGGUCUCCAUGGGAGGCUGCUGUGAAGGUUUCAUGAUUAGGUCCCCGAAAGAUUCUGUAAUUACGGUGAAAAUUCCUGUGUCUUGCAAAUUUCGUAGAAAACCCCUAGAUCUUUUCCGUCUUCUCAAUCCAGCCCCACCCGUGGUAUUUUCAGAUCUAACCCUAAUCUUUUCUGUAUUCGUGAGCCCUAUUUUUUUCUGUGUCUUGUUUUUCUUUUCAGCUAACCCUUGAAGUCUAUAGUUAAUUGCGUAUAGGUCCUUGCAGCAUUGUUUUAUGCGUAGUUUCCGCGUUUUAGAUCCGUUUUGAUUCAUUCUUUUUGCGUUAGUCUUCUAAAACCUUAAGCUAUCGUUUAGUAGCGUUGUUGUGCCAUAAUUCCUAUUUUUUUAAAAUUAAAUAUCAAUUUAAUUUGAAUAAUAUCCUCUCAUCUAGUUUUCUGAAAUAAAAUCCAAUUAAGUCUUUUCUCCAGUUUUCAUAAGUAAUGUUAACUCAAUUAAUAUGAAAUUAAAUGUGUUUGUAAUUUAAUUUGUUUAGUUCAACAUGAAUCAUAAAGUUCGACGUUUAGAUGCUCUCACCAGUUUCUUUUCUAAUUAAUUAUUUAAUUAGUGUAAUUUGUACAUAGAGAAUUGUAUAUAAAAUUUGACUAAGUUCUACUUCAUCUUUAUAAAAUAUAAUAUGAGUUAAUUAUAAUUAGGGAUAUUCUCUUUUGAAUAUCUUUUACAUUAGUUUUCUGGAUUAAAAUAAACGAAAGCCUAUAGUUCUUUUAUUUCUUUCAUAACAUAAGUCUUCCGAUAGCUGUUUCUUUUCAACCCUAGCUCCGUUUUCCGCGUUUCUUUCUUUCUCGUGACCGUAGCAACGAGCCCUAUCCUUUAGUACGCUCUUUUAAAGCUUUCCGUUUGUUUGGUGUACCGUUCUUAGUCGUUCUUGUUUGUUUAUUUGCUUGUAUGUUUGGGCCCGAUGCUUGUGUGAUGUUAGAAGGAGCGCGAUCCAAGAGGUUUGAAGAUCUAGAGUUUCAAGAACAAGAGUUGAAGACUCUGAGCAGCUAUUCUCUAAAAGAAAGGCAAGUGUUUCCUUGAUCAUUAUUUUAUCCUAAUAAUCACAUAAAUAUAACUUUUCUUUAUAUGCAUGCAUGUGUUCUAAUUUUGAUGGAUCCUAAUUAAGGAUAUGCCUAGUCUUAAUGAUCAUUCCUUGUCAACCUGGGUUUUACCUUUAUGUUGGGUAGCUAUUGCUUAGUUGCUAUAACUGGUUUUGGUUCGGGAAUAAUAUAUAACCAUGAUGAGAACAAUGAUGAUGUUACACCUGUUUUAUCCAUGUUCAUGCUCUUGGUGAUGUUAAUCACAAGAUUAUAUGUUUUAAUUGGAAUAUGGAGAACCACCCAGGAAAACAGUGCAACCACAAUACUAUAUGGCUCUGGUCUUGGCUGAUUAAUUAGAAACACUAGCUUAUGACGAUCUUACCGAAAGGGCAAGAGGGGUUGCAUCGUCGGGGUAUAGCUCGGUCCUCGUGAGGGUAUGAUAUGGUCCUGGGUAAGGCGUCUGCCUCAUUAGGGAGAGUUAUGACCGUUUUGGCUUGAAACCUCAGCAGACUGUCAUAAGUUAGGGAAUCUUUGUAAAGGCCUCGUAGUGAAUCCCUUGCCACUCACCUCGGAAGUGUUUAAGAGGCUAGCUACCUCGGGCAAAUCGGGAGACACGAAUUGUGGGUAAAGUGUACAACCUCUGCAGAGUGAAAACUGAUAUAUCAGCUGUGCUCACGGUUAAGAGCGGCUUGGAUCCUCACAUGAUAAUUGAACUUGAAGAUGAAUUAAAUCGUGGACCAUGGCUAUGGUUAUGGUUAUCAUGGACCAUUUUUAUGGUUGUGGUUAUGCUUAUGCUGUAUCUCUUCUAUUUCUUUUAAAGUGGGUUUUGGUAUGAACUUAUACCUUAGUAAUCAGGUGCUAAUAAAAUUUGACCAACUAAAAUUGCUUAUCGCAGUAAGCCAGUCAGCCUUUCCUUGCUUUUGGCCUUCAUGUCAUAUAAUUCCCAACACUUGCUAAGUACCAACCAUAAGUGUACUCACGCUUGUUAUAAUUGCUGCUCAGAGGAGAAAGUGAUGUGAAGUCUUUUGAAGAUGAUGCUGAGUUCUAGGCCUGCGCAAUCCCCGGUCGAUUGCCUAUGAAGUUUGGAGUCUCCGUUUCCAGGAUAAGCUGUAUAACUCUGAUAAUCUUUAUAGUCUUUUAAUUCUCUUUUCAUGAUACUGUUGCCGAUUAUUCACUAAUGAAGUCACUAUAUGUAUGGAACUUGAUCCUGGCAUACAUUUAGUUAUGCAUUCGGUUUUGUCCUUAAAAAAACCAGGUGUGACAUUUACCCUUGCAAGGCUGAAACUCGAUUCAGAAUCGUCCGUCUCUUGUGGAAAUUGAGACUGCUUAUUCCUUCUGCCACAUAGAGUAAGAAAUGUAACUAUUGAUGGAACAAUCAUGAUGAAUGAUAAUCUCUACCUUGCUUGCUUAGUGUAGGUGCUAACUUAGAAUGCAUAAUCAACUAGAAUAUGAACGCUAAAAUUUGAAAGUAGAUCAUACUCUUUGUUGCUUUUCAGCUGAAAAUAAACUCAAAACCCUUGAAAUGCCUUCAUGAGUCUAGUUACGGGCUAAGGUAUACCCAACCCGGGUAAGCCUUGCUGAGUAUUAGAAUACUCAGUCUUGCUAGUAUCAUUUUCAGGUAUAACCUUCGAGAACCCGACGGAUAGUUCUGCGUGGCCAACUUCUGUUCCACAUGGCUGGUCCGUGGAGUGGGAUCCGUCCCCGGCUGGCAGUGACCCUCCUGAGUGACACCAGGCCUUGGGCUGAGCAUGGUGUCAACCUUUGCGACGUGUGUAGUCGCGUGUUUAUUUUCCUUCUGCUGUAAGCAUGGACAAGCUGUUUAGCUUGUCGGUUUAAACACUAUUUGUAUAAGUUUACUUUAAGUUUGAACAAGGUUUGUAAUAAUAUUUGCAUAUCUGAAAAUUAAAAGUGGAUGAGCGGUACUGUGAUUGUAAACUCACCUUCGUGCGAGGUAAACCUGCUUCGAUCCUAUUGAACCGUGGUUGUAUCGGGCGGAGACCCGACAGACCAAUAAGUUGUUCCGUUUGAAGUGCGUUGAGUUAGUAUCGGCUAUACAACGAUGACUAGCGCACUUGAGCAGGAUAAUUCAGGCGGUUCUGCCACAGCUGGUAUCAGAGCCGUAGGUUUACUUUUACAACUGCAGUAGCUCUUAAAAGGUGUUUUCAGGAUAAAAUUGGCCAACAAAUGAAUUUACAACGUGCGUUGGAUUCAUUAAGGUUGGUGUUAGAACGCAAAGCCCUAGGGACUUAUAGGAGAAUUAUCAGGUGGCUGCUAGUAUAUAUACAUAUAUAGAUAGCUCUGACUUGCAGCACUACUUUCUGUCAAAACUUAAAUUCAUGCACAACUCAACUUUACUUUGUGUAACGACACCUUCGGUGGUAAGGUAAGAAGGUAAGGAUCCUCAGCUAACUGGCAAGCAGUGGCCUACUUGAGAUGCUGCCAAUAUAUCAACUUAGGUUGGUUAUAUUUGGAGUAUAUGGUUCGGUGCAGGGUAUGGCGAUCGCUGUUCAUACCCCCGCAUUUUGCGGUACCCCCGUGAAUACGUUGUUUCAAUGAUGUAUGUUAACAUUGUUUGUACGGCGGUAAUUGUACAGAUGCUGUUUCUAUGGUGAACACUACUAUUUGGAGACGCUUUCAUGUCGUGCUGCCAUGAAAGAUUCAUGAUAUGUAUAUGUGGUUUUCUGCAGGUACACUAACCACGAUUAAUAGGUUAAGAUGGAUAGGACUUAUCGAUUAGUUAUUAGUGAGAGAUGUAUGGGUAAUGCCACCGAAAUUAACCGCGUAAGUCCGAAGAUAUUCGGCAGUUGUUUUUGAUUGUGAGAACGAAUAGUGCGUGCAUGCAUCAAUCAUCAUCAAUUGCAUGAAUGCAAUAUACAUUUUGUUCUAUUAAGGACGAAUAGUGUGUUGCUUGUUUCUAGAAUGGGUUAAUAGGAUUUUUGUGGUAGUUCUAAGUGGAGUAUCUUAAGCAUCCAUCUGAUUUACAGUCUUUGCUGUUGUCAGAAUUGAUUAUCUUAUUCCAUUUAUCUUGUGAUUUCUCAGCAAGGUAAAUAAGUCUCACCAUUUGCAUUCUUGUUGCAGAUGGCAGCCCUUUCCAACGUCUUUUGGGAUCCGGCAGGGCAUCUCCACACAAAUGCCUUGCACUGGGAGGGUUUUCCUCGCCUUCUCUGGGAGUCACUACGCUCGUUCCUUUAUAUCGAGCCUCCACAGUAUGAUGCAGUGGAGUAUCAGGAGGAAGGUGUUCGCCAAUAUCGAGUUAGAAUGACUAUUCCUCAACAUCCCUUUCGCUCCCAAUGGCAGCCCAUUGAAGUUGAUGUGGUGGGUCAUCGUAUAGUUGAUACGAUUGAGGUAGCAGCCCUGGAAGCUAUCUAUCUGUUCUGCAACCAACAUCCAAGGCAAGUUGCAGGACAGCCUAUUGGUUUUUUUUCUACCACAGAUCCCAACGAUCCUGAGUGGAAUCUCAGGGUAGUCCCUGAAGGUCACAGGUUGGAAGGCUCGACAGAAGAAGCGCUUCAGGGUACUAUGCGGUUUAUGAAUGUUCAGCAUCACUAUCAACUUCUGCUACAUCGCAGUAUGGGUCAAUUGAUCAGUAUCGCACAAGGUCACUUUAGGAAUGCUGACCGACAAGUCAUCCAAAUACAGCAGCUUCAAGCUUCGGUGACAGAGAAGGAAGAAAUUAUCGCUGCCCGGGAAGAGACUAUUCAUCACCGGGAAGACCAGAUCAAUGAAAGUGAUGCGAUAAUCACCCAACGCAACACAAUCAUUGAGUUUCUCCAAGAACAGAUCCACGACCUCAUUCGAGGUUGAUGAUGCCCAAGUCCAGAUCAAUGAACUCCAACAGCAGCCAGCGCCUCCUGCUGUACCAGCUCCUGAAGAAGAAGAAGAUCCCGAAGAAAUCAAAGGAGUCUCCGAGAUCGAUUCUGAGCACGGAGAUCCUGUUAUCAGUCCCCAUCAUCCUUCUUCAGGCAGUCAGUCAUCAAUGGGCACCUUUGAUGACUUUUAAUUUAGUUUGAGUUGGUGACGUCUUAGUUGUAAUUACUGUAGAAAGAUGUGAUAUAGCUAGUGAGUAGUCUAUUUAGGUCUAGAGCCACUUGUUGUAUUAAAUGUGGCAUGGGUGCGUAUAAAAUGACUUGCAAUGGUUAAAGUGUCUUGAUGUAAGAUGUAAGGACCACCAGUAUUUGCGUAGUAAUCCAAACCCCGUGUUCUACCAUCUUACUUAAUCCCUUCGCAUCUGAAAUGAGUUGAUUGAAUGGAGCAUAUGAAUUACAUUCCUAUUUGGUAAUUGUAUAUCAUCUGGAAUUGGAGUAAGGAUAUGAUUGAUAAUGGUAUCCCCUUUGUUUCAGAUGGUUGGAGCUACUCGAGGAACCCCGGAAGGUUUUCGGGUAGAUCAGGCCAGCGGAUCCCAGCAACCGCCACCGCCACCUCCAAAUCUAGCCGAGGUUAUGGCCCGACGAACGGAACUCCUCAAUCAGCUUGUGCAGGCUCAGAUGGGCCACUUCCAUCAGCAAUCCCGAGGCUGAGAUGAACCCCUAUCGGCCAGUUAUCAAGACUUCCUCAGCACCCAGCCUCCACUAUUCCAUAAGGCGGAUGAGCCCCUUGACGCCGAUGCUUCCAAGUUCACCUUAUUGUCUGUCCCAUGUUUGGAUGAAAACAAGGCGCUUUUUGCAGCCUAGCAACUCCAUGGCACCGCUCGCCUAUGGUGGGAUCAUUUUCACGCCAUGCAGCCUGCCGAUCAUGUCGUCACUUGGGAUGAGUUUCGGACUGUGUUUCGAGCGCACCAUAUACCCGAAGGACUCAUUGAGCGAAAGCUUAAUGAAUUUCUGAACCUGACUCAGGGAACCCGCACCGUCAUGCAAUACGCACAAGUUUUCAACCACUUGUGCCAGUACGCGGGAUACCAUGUGGACAGUGAUGCCCGCAAAAGAGAUCGUUUUCGCCGAGGCCUGAACACCAAACUUAAAGAACGACUGAAUUUGGUAAGGGUCGAUAAUUUCAAUGAGCUGGUCAACAUGGCCAUCAGUCAGGAAGACUGCAUCUCAGCCCACAGAGCAGAAAAGAAAAGGAAGACACCCACAGGGCCUACAACUACGCAACCGUCAAGGUAUCGGUUGGUCCCAAGCACUGCCCCUCAAGCCCCGCCUCGAGGCAACUUGCCUGGCAGAUGGGUAGCUAGACCACCCCAACAGGCACGAUUCAACCGACCACCGACACCACAAUUUCAGCAGCAACAACAACAAGGUCCGCGACCGAGCUUUCCGCCCAUCAAUUAAGGCAACUAUCGUUGUUUCAACUGCGGAAGCCCGUCCCAUUUCAUCAAGGAUUGCCCUCAACCUAGGAAGUCUUUCCAAGGGCAAACAUCCGGUCCAACCAGCAAGGGCAAGGGCAAGAGGCAAGUGGUCCAGGUCCGCCAAGGAAGGGUGAACCUCACCACUCUUUCUGAACUUCCUGAGGGGACACCAAUAAUGACGGGUACUUUUUCUAUCAACUAUCAUCCAGUAAUUGUUCUUUUUGACUCUGGUGCCACCCAUAGCUUUGUCAGUAUAAAGUGUGGGACUAAAAUAGGUUUGGAUAUCUAUCCUACCAAUGGAGAUUAUAAGAUAACAACUCCUGGUGGAAAAAUCUUAUCAAAUCAAAUUUGUAGGAAGGUACCACUUCAGCUGGGUAGUCAAUUGAUGAAAACGGACUUGCUUCUGUUAGACCUAGAAGGAAUGGAUGUUCUUUUAGGUAUGAAUUGGAUGACCCAACAUCAAGUGUCAUUAGAUAUCUCUUCCCGAAUUGUGGAGAUAGAUUCACCUGAGCACGAACCUACCAUUCUCUAUCUUCCACCACAGGAAUACCUUAAUUCUUGCACCUAUGCUACAAUAGGGAUCAAGUUAAAGGAUAUCCCUAUCAUCUGUGAAUACCCAGACAUCUUUCCAAACAAUUUGCCUAGAAUGCCCCCAGAUAGAGAUAUCAAGUUUAUCAUAGAACUCCAACCUGGCACAACCCCUAUCUCUAAGAGAUCUUACCGUAUGCCUCCUAACGAGUUGGCCGAGUUAAAAAUCCAACUCCAAGACUCCUUGACAAGGGUUUCAUUCGUUCGAGUGCAUCACCAUGGGGUUGUCCAGCCUUAUUUGUGAAAAAGAAGGAUAAUAGCUUAAGGCUAUGUGUACAUUAUCAUCCUCUCAAUACAGUGACUAUCAAAAACAAGUACCCCCUACCCCGCAUUGAUAUUCUUUUCGAUCAGUUAGCCGGAGCUAAAGUAUUCUCUAAGAUUGAUCUUCGUUCCGGUUAUCAUCAAAUUAAGAUCUGGCCAAGUGACAUUCCAAAAACGGCCUUCUCCACUCGAUAUGGUCUAUAUGAAUACCUAGUCAUAUUGUUUGGUCUUACCAAUGCCCCAGCAUAUUUCAUGUAUCUCAUGAAUUCUGUCUUCAUGCAAGAACUCGACAAAUUUGUUGUAGUCUUCAUUGAUGACAUCUUGAUCUAUUCCAAAAAUCCAGAAGAUCAUGCCAAACAUCUUCAUGUCAUUAUUCAGCGAUUAAGAGACCACCAUUUAUACGCCAAAUUCUCCAAGUGCAAGUUCUGGUUGGAUACUGUGAAAUUUCUGGGCCACACCAUUUCUGGUGAGGGUAUAUCCGUUGAUCCCAGUAAAGUGCAAGAAGUGAUGGAUUGGAAACCUCCCACAUCAGUCCAUCAAAUCCGUAGUUUUCUUGGUCUAGCUGGCUAUUAUCGCCGCUUCAUUCCUGACUUCUCCAGAAUAGCCAAACCUAUGACCGAACUACUAAAGAAGGGUGUCAAAUUCUCUUGGAAUUAAAAAUGUGAAGAUGCAUUUCACACUCUUCAAGAUCAUCUUACAACUGCUCCAGUCUUAGCUCAACCAGAUGUGUCAAAACCCUUCAACAUCUAUUGUGGUGCUUCAAGAAUGGGACUUGGUUGUGUGCUUAUGCAGGACAACCGAGUAAUUGCAUAUGCAUCAUGAACACUCAGGGUUCAUGAACAGAACUACCCUACCCAUGAUCUCAAACUCGCAGCUGUCAUUCAUGCCUUGAAGAUCUGGAGACAUCAUUUGAUGGGUACGAAAUGUCACAUUUAUACUAACCACAAAAGCCUCAAGUACAUCUUUAAACAGGCAGACCUAAAUAUGAGGCAAAGACGCCGGCUAGAGCUUAUUAAAGAUUAUGACUUGGAAAUACAUUAUCAUCCAGGCAAGGCUAACGUUGUUGCAGAUGUACUCAGUCGCAAGGCACAUUGCUCUUGCUUAUCUGUAGAAGCUUUCAAUGAGACUCUCUACUGGGAAAUGAGAAAGCUUAAUCUAGAAAUCGUUCCCCAAGGUGACUUAAACCAUCUCUCAGUUGAGGCCAUGCUUAGGGAUGGCAUUGUUCUAGCUCAGCAGUGCAAUAAAGGAGUUAGGAUCAUUAAGCAGAAGAUAACACAAGGAGAAGGGAAGUAUAAGUGCUUCCGAGUAGAUCCAGAAGGAGUUUUAAGGUUCAAUGAACAUAUCGUUGUACCCAAGGACCAUAAGCUCCGUAAACAGAUAUUGGACGAGGCCCACCUGUCCAAAUUCUCUAUGCACCCUGGCAGUACGAAGAUGUACCAAGAUCUGAAACAAAACUUUUGGUGGACUCGUAUGAAACGGGAAAUUGCUAAGUAUGUCUCAGAAUGUGAUAUCUGCCAAAAGUCAAAGCUAGUCACCUGAAGACUGCUGGUAUUCUUCAACCUCUAUCUAUUCCCUCUUGGAAAUGGGAGGAUAUCAGUAUGGACUUUAUUGUUGGUUUGCCCAAUACUUCUCUGAGGCAUGACUCUAUUUGGGUAAUCGUUGAUCGAUUGACCAAGACUGCACAUUUUCUUCUUGUGCAUACUACAUAUAAUGCCAAGAAGUAUGCUGAGAUUUACUUGGAUCAAAUUGUUCGUCUUCAUGGAAUACCUAAGAUGAUCAUUUCCGAUCAUGGAGCGCAGUUUAUUGCUCGGUUCUGGGAGCAACUUUGAGAUGCUCUUGGAACUAAGUUAAUUUGAAGCUCUGCAUAUCAUCCUCAAACAGAUGGACAGACUGAAAGAGUAAAUCAGAUAUUGGAAGAUAUGCUCAGAGCCUGUGUCCUCCAGUAUGACAAGAACUGGGACAAAUGCUUACCUCUACAGAAUUCUCGUACAACAACAGCUAUCAGACCAGUCUCAAAAUGGCCCCGUUCGAAACAUUGUACGGUCGCCGAUGCCGAACUCCUUUGAGUUGGUCACAAACCGGCGAGCGUAAAAUCUUUGGACCCGACCUAGUCAUUGAAGUAGAGAAUAAGGUAAAGAUUAUACACACGAAUCUAAAGGCAGCCCAAUCGCGGCAGAAAAGCUACGCUGAUAUAUGAAGAAGACCAUUACAGUUUCAAGUUGGAGACUUUGUAUAUCUUCGAGUAUCUCCUACUUGAGGUGUUCAAAGGUUUGGCGUAAAAGGGAAACUUGCUCCCCGAUACAUCGGACCCUUUGAAAUCCUUGAAAUCUGCGGACCCGUAGCUUACCAUCUCCAACUUCCUCUUCAGUUAGCUGCCAUUCAUAACAUCUUUCAUGUGUCUCAACUUAGGAAAUGCGUCCAGAUUCCUACCGAGACCAUCGAUUCCCAAGCCAUCGAAAUCGAACCUGAUCUGACCUAUACAGAACAUCCACUUAGAGUGCUAGACACCAAAGAGAGAAGCACUAGAAGAGAAACCAUCAGAAUAUACAAAAUUCAAUGGAACCAUCACACAGAAGAAGAGGCAACAUGGGAAACCGAAUCUUAUCUUCGGCAAAAUUUUCCAGACUUCUUCCAAGACAACCUCCGCGUUUGAUCAUUCAAUUCCAUCCUGUUCCAGAAUCUCGGGACGAGAUUCUUUAUAGGAGGGAAGGCUGUGACACUCAGGUAAUUAGUGUGGUCACACCCUAGAUUUUAGUGUGAUGUUAUGUGCAAAACGUGGUAAAAGUUUGUUUAAAAAUUUAAAUACUUAGGGAGAAGGGUUAUUUAUAUAAUUAUAUUUUAAUAAAGGUCCAUUAGUGCUAAAUGGUUAAGCAUGGAGGAUAGAAUUCAAAUGUAUGAGGGUUGUUUUGCAAAAGUCAAAAACUUGUGUUUAAAUCGCAAAUGUAGGUGAAACUACACAUAGGAUAUAUUUGUAGUGUAGUUUUUAAAUAGGGUUUGUAUAAAGUUUAGAAUCUUUGCUAAAUUUUAUUUUAACUCCAACUCCUUAGCUCUUAUGUGGAUGAACCUUAAAGCAAAGUUGUACAUUUUGAAAAACCAUACAUUUUUGCUUUUGGGCCCAUCUCCAUUUUAGCCCUGGUUUGAAAGUUAUGUAUGCAUUACAGUAGGGUCCCUGCAUUUCUGUGAUAUUGCAUUUGGGUCCCUCUUCGUCUCCUCUCCCUCUCCUCUGUUCUCCUCUGCCGCGCGCCGCCGCCGCUGUCUCGGCCAUGUGCGCCGCACCUGCUGUCUCUGCGCUGCUCUAGACCUCGCCACGUGCCACCCCGGCCUCUGCCCCGCCGCUUCCCGCCCUCGCGCUGGCCACCCCCUACCCUCACCACGUCGCCCGUCAUCUGCUCGAGCUGCGCCUCACCGCCGCUCGGCAUCGCAGCGUCUCCCACGCCACCUCCUGCCUUCCGACGACUCCACGCGUCAUUACCCGCCUUGCCGCCGCCCUCCCGACCCCGUGCUAGCUCGCCCUUGCGUCCUCCACGUUGCAUUGCUUCUGCCCGAGCGCCGCCGCGAUCGCCACGCACGCCGCCGAGACGCCAACUCCUGCUUGCGCACAGGCACAUCCCCUUCUGGACCUCAAGCUCUUCCUCUAGCUCCUCUAGUACAUUUCCUGGCAUUUGCACAAUUCUUUUCCAUUCCAUUUUCCGUGCUCCGAUCGCCAACACUCACCGGACCUCCUCCGUGACUCCAGCUCACCGUCGGCAGCCCCACCGCCGCUUCCCAAUCCCCAAUUCAGUGCACCAACAGCAUUGACGUGACCCACUGCAGCUCACUGAGUGAUCCAAUCCCAGUUUCCUCCACCAGAACCGCCGGACCGCAACGCCGGCGAGCCCUCUUCCUCCGUCACCGCUCGGCCUCCCGUCGACCCACCGAUAUAGGCCCUCUCCGCCCCGAUCAACGUCACCAUCAGCACCACAUCAUCCUCCUGAAGCGAUCCCGCCCCUCCUCCACCACCCUCCGUCGCCCUAGCCUGCAGAACACCAGCUGCCAUUGCCGCCGGUAAGGACCCGAGGUUCACCCCGCCGUCGAUCACCACUCUCCGACCUGUUUCUAUCCAAAUUAAGUUGGGGGAAAGCAUCCCCGCACUCCCCCGGUGCUCAUGCGUGCCUUGUUCCCCCAUGUUCGCCGGUCCCCCGCCGGGAACGACGACGCCCCGACACGGCCGCCGCCACUCCUCACCGCCGGCCGUGCUCCGUCGCUGAUCUUGAUGCACAUCACCCACUGUUGGACACCAUAGGACUUGUAGGUCAUGCUGGACCAGAUCAUCUCCGGCCAAGACCUCGCCGCCGGCGAGAACGCCGGAGACAGAGAUGCCGGACGCCGUCGCGAGCCGUUUCAUGAAUUUAAAUGAAACCCCCUUGUUUAAAUGAUAAUUUAAAAGUAAAACCCCCUUGUUUCAUGAAUUCAUGUGUGUUGAUUGUUGGAUUGCAACUUUAUUGUGAAAUAAAAUUCUUAAACUCAAGCACCAUCUCAUUUUAAGUUAUUGCAUGUCAUAUAGAAUCAACGACUCUCAACGAUGGAGACUAUGAGCUGGUCUUGGGACAAGACCAAGGGUUUUCUGAAGACCCGAUAAACGUCGCCGAGGAACUAACUGAAGCCCCGAACCAAAGUUCGGAAGUCUCUGACACUCCUGCCUCCAACCCCACUCAAGAAGGCAAGCCCCGAUGCAUACCCUAGUAUUUCAAUUUAUUACAAUUUUAUUAUUAUAUUAUAUAUCUUGCAUUACGUCUAGGAGUUGAAAUGAAACCCUAGUUGCAUAAAAUCUUAGGAAUCCAAUGUAUUAUACCCGAGUCCUUAUCGCAUAGAUGCUCUGCUAAAUAGGGCCGGUAAAAGUCGAGUGAUUUUCUGUCACUCGCGCGAUAUAAGAGUUGCAUGUUUACAAUUCUGCAAUCACUCUAAGGAUAAUGGACAGGGUCAUGUGCAAUAUCAUGACCUGGAGGUUUACCCUGUCUGUUUUGAUAAAAGUUGUUAAGGUCGCAGCGUGUGGUAGUGGUGGCUAAGCGUUUGAAAGUACUAGCCACAUGCCGCGAAAUACGGUAAAGCGGUAAGCCUAGUAACCAAUCGGCCCGGCAAGUGGACAUACCUCCCACCACUCGUAAUUUGGUUUUUCUCAUGCACCGACGUGCAGGAGUGCGUUCCACACUGCGGACAGGAGUACGGUCAUGUAGUCACGCUACAGACGUAUGUCCUGCACAAUUGGUGUGCGUACGGUCCUACAGUCGCUUGUGGUGGCCCUGUUCCACGACCUGGAAUGAAAGCCAAACGGUUGUUUCGGAACGAUCUUUGGAUAUUCCAAGCGUGUGAGUUAGGUUUAACCUUGCAAGGCUGAAACUUGAUUCAGAAUCGUCCGUCUCUCACGGAAAUUGAGAUUGCUUAUUCCUUCUGCCACAUAGAGUAAGAAAUGUAGCUAUUGAUGGAACAAUCAUGAUGAAUGAUAAUCUCUACCUUGCUUUCUUAGCGUAGGUGCUAACCUAGAAUGGAUAAUCAACUAGAAUAUGAACGCUAAAAUUUGAAAGUAGAUCAUACUCUUUGUUGCUUUUCAGCUGAAAAUAAACUCAGAACCCUUGAAAUGACUUCAUGAGUCUAGUUACGGGCUAAGGUAUAGCCAACCCCGGUAAGCCUUGCUGAGUAUUAGAAUACUCAGUCUUGCUAGUAUCAUUUUCAGGUAUAACCUUCGAGAAUCCCACGGAUAGUUCUGCGUGGCCAACUUCUGUUCCACAUGGCUGGUCCGUGGAGUGGGAUCCGUCCCCGGCUGGCAGUGACCCUCCUGAGUGACACCAGGCCUUGGGCUGAGCAUGGUAUCAACCUUUGCGAUGAGUGUAGUCGCGUGUUUAUUUUCCUUCCGCUGUAAGAAUGGACAAGCUGUUUAGCUUGUCGGUUUAAACACUGUUUGUAUAAGUUUAUUUUAAGUUGGAACAAGGUUUGUAAUAAUAUUUGCAUAUCUGAAAAUUAAAAGUGGAUGAGCGGUACUGUGAUUGUAAACUCGCCUUCGUGCGAGGUAAACCUGCUUCGAUCCUGUUGAACCGUGGUUGUAUCGAGCGGAGACCCGACAGACCAAUGUGUUGUCCCGUUUGAAGUGCGUUGAGUUAGUAUCGGCUAUACAGCGAUGACUAGCGCACUUGAGCUGGAAUAAUUCAGGCGGUUCUGCCACACGCGUGAGAUUAGAUCGCGUACCCCUUCAAUCCCGGCCCUCUGAUCUAGAUCCAACGGACCCGAUUCCAUCGUUCAGAUUGGACCGUCCGAUCUAGAUCGGACCGUACGUUUCCCCCGUCCAGAUCGGACCGUCUGAACCGAGCCGUUCAGAUCGGACCGUCCGAUCCGGAACAUGUCCGAACCGUCCGAUCCAGAUCCGACGGCCCAGAUUAAAAGGUACCGCUUCAGCCGUGCUGUUUUGCUCAAGAGACCCUAAAUGUCUUUGGAAUCAACCUGCAGUCCACCCCCGUUCAAAAGUAAUUCCAGAUAAGCCCUGUUUUUAGCGUUUAGGCCCCUGAGCUUCUUAGAUAUAGAACCCGCCGUCCAGACCUUGAGUUUUGGCGUGUUAGCCCCUGAAUCUAUAGUUUAAUUUCAUUUAAGUCCCUAGUUUUGCGCAGAACCCCUGGAACUUUCUGUUUUCUUACAGAAAAGCCCCUAGACCUUGUUUUAGCUCUAGUUUUCGCAUCCUAGCUCCGUUUUAGGUGGUUUUCACGUUCACGCGAUCGCUGUAAUGUGCAGAAUAGCUCUAGCCUAGUUUUGUGCAUUGUUUUUAUGUAAUGUUGUACUAUUUCUUAUCUUUUGUCAUUGUUUGCAUGUAUGUGUAUGUGCUGGACCAUGUUUUGGCGUUGCGAUCGUGAGUAGACGUUGAGCCACCGGAGGAGUACGAGGAGCCACCUUUUUCAGACGCGUUUGAGCAGCACCCAGCAGAGUUUGAGGAAGGCAAGUAUAACAUCAACAUCCUAUCACUUUUAAAUACAAUUUCAUACUGCAUUUUAAUACUCUAUGCCUAUAAGGAUUUCCUAGCCACUUUUAUCCUUUAUAUAUAAAUACCUUGGGUUGCAUUUUGGUUAAGUUGUGCUAGGUGCUGCGCUCUCACACAUUAUGGUCCUUUUUAAUUAAAUUUGAUUAAUGGUAUAUGUAACUUGAUUCUGAUAGUGGCCUUCUGUGCUGUGUGCUUGAGCAGCUCACAUCUCGUUAAAAUAUAUUUUUAUUAGAAAUAUGGUUUAGGGGGCCAGCACGGUGCUUAGUGCUUGGUUGGCCACUCUCCCUAAGGACCGGUUCAUAGAGCGAUAACCUGGGACAACCGCGCAACCACAAGACUGGAAUGGGACGGUCUUGACUUACUAAUUAGGUCAUUUUGAUUUGGGAGUAACUUACCUGCGGGGCAAGAGGGGUGGUAAGCUUCAAUUGUCCCUGCUCCUCAAGCUUGGUCUGUGCUAUGUGCUUGUACCCCCGUGAGGUGGGCUCCAUCACCGCCGAUCCAGAAACCUUAGCGGUUACACCUUACUAAGGUGAUCCUUUGUAACGGUCUCGUAGUGCGCUCGCUAGUCAUCUCACCUAAGGAAGUGUGAUGAACAACUAGCAUAGCUCACAACUUGUGGGUAAAGUUGUGCAACCUCUCGAGAGUGUAAAACUAGCAUAUUAGCCGUGCUCACGGUCAUGAGCGGCCUAGAUCCUCCAUCUGAUUAGUGGGGUUUAUCUUUGGGUGGUUUGGCCUGGAUUUCAGUAGAGUCAUGAUUAAUUUUGAUUAAUUACUAUGCAACUUGGGUUAUGGUAAUUCAUCCACUUGUAGUAAAUAGCUUUAAUAAAACUUGCCAAGAUCAAAAGCUAAUGCAGUUGAGUCAGCUAACCGUAGAGUCUCAUAAUUCGUGUUAUACUUGUUGAGUACAAGUUGUGUACUCACACUUGCCUCUCUACUCUUUUGUUCUCUUUGGAAUAUCUUCGACUGCUGCUCAGUACCAGGCAACAUGGAGGACUACAUCAGCGGAGUUGAUGAUUUCUAGGAUUUUGUCUCCCAGCCGACGUCCCUGUGGCGCCCUGUUCUUCAUGUAUUCAUUUUACGCUUCCGCAUUCCUUGAACCGAUUCUUGAUUCGAUUGUAAUAAAGAAUUCAUUUACAAUUUAUACGCUUUUAUUUCGUGAUAUGUGUUGUGAUAUCUUGAUGAUUCUGUUGUAUAUAUGCGUGACUUGAUCCUGGCGUAUAUAUGAUUGCUCGGUUUAUGUCCUUGUAAAUCGGGUGUGACAGAAUUGGUAUCAGAGCCAUGUCGACUGUAGGACGAAGCCUAGUUAGAAAUGGUCGAGUUUAAGGAUUUGUUUUCUCCUGCCUUGCUUCCGCAAAACUCAAACAUUCAUUUUUGCUUCUAUUCCUUGAGUCCUAAACUUUGAUUUGCAAGCUCUCCCUCUUGUCCUUUCCAAGAAUUAGUCUGAUCUCUUCCGUAGAUGUUGGCCUACAAUUUUUUGUCUGUCCUCAUAAGCCUAGGAUGCCUUUGCAAAAAUACGUUAGAGCGUCUGUUUGUUUUAGUCGAGUGGAGUGAUAAACUCGGCUAAAGUGUGGAUAUUGAGUGUUUGUGAUUGUGCAAAAUGUUUGAUUUGGAUUUUUGGUUGAUUGCAUAGUUUAGAAUUUAAACUUGCUCAUGCAAAUCGACUUUAACGCAAACUUGAAUUAAGUAAUAAAACUGAGAUAGAUCAUUGGGGGUAAAAUCGUACACUCUUUACUCUCUACUUUAUCCUAUCAGAGUUUUCUUUCUAGAAUCGUACAAUAUCGGUCUCUUAUAAGUUUCAUUCUACUGCAUACAGUGAAGGAAGUUCGUUCCUUUCUGGGCUUAGCAGGAUACUAUUGGAGGUUCAUUGAGAAUUUCUCCAGGAUUGCGAAGCCUUUGACUUCCUUGCUAGAGAAGGGUGUGGAUUUCUCCUGGACUGAUGAGCGUCAGAUGGCCUUCGAUGAGCUGAAGAAGAGGUUGACUACGGCGCCAGUCCUUACUCUGCCCGACCAGAGCAAGAGGUUCACAGUGUAUUGUGAUGCUUCGAGGGUUAGUCUUGGUUGCGUCCUGAUGCAGGAAGGCAGAGUUAUAGCUAAUGCUUCGCGGCAGUUGCGCCGACAUGAGCUGAAUUAUCCCACUCAUGAUCUGGAGUUAGCCGUAGUUGUGCAUGCUCUGAAGAUAUGGAGGCAUUACUUGUUUGGGCAGAGGUGUGACAUUUACAUCGAUCACAAGAGCCUCAAGUACAUAUUCACAUAGAGUGAGCUGAACAUGCGGCAGAGAAGAUGGCUAGAGCUAGUCAAGGAUUAUGACCUGGAUAUUCACUAUCAUCUGGACAAGGCCAAUAUUGUAGCAGAUGCUCUGAGCAGGAAGAGUUAUGUCAACAUGGCCAUGGCUUUUCAGAUGCCUCAGGAGUUAUGCGAGGAGUUCGAGCAGUUGAGUCUGGGAUUCUUGCAUCACACCUUGAGUGCAUCCUUCGAGGCAGAACCCACUCUAGAGGCAGAGAUCAGGCAGCAUCAGAAAGAAGAUAAGAAGCUGCAAAUUGGCAAAGCACCUCAUUUCAGAGAGGAUGAUCAGGGUACCUUGUGGUACAAGGGCCGGAUAUGUGUGCCAGAUGUAAAGGAUCUCAGGAAGCUGAUUUUGAGUGAGGCUCAUGAUACAGCAUAUUCCAUUCAUCCGGGCAGCACGAAGAUGUAUUAUGACCUCAAGGAACGAUUCUGGUGGUAUGGGAUGAAGCGUUUUGUUGCAGAGUACGUGGCUAUCUGUGACACUUGUCAGCGUGUCAAGGCAGAGCAUUAGAGGCUAGCAGGUCUGUUGCAGUCGUUGAAGAUUCCAGAGUGGAAAUGGGAGGAGAUCACUAUGGACUUCAUUGUUGGAUUGCCUCGUACUUAGAAAGGGUACAACUCUAUAUGGGUAGUAGUGGAUCGGUUGACGAAGGUCGCCCACUUCAUUCCGGUGAACACUACUUACUCCGGUGCUAGACUCGCAGAGUUGUACAUCUCCAGGAUCGUUUGUCUGCAUGGUGUUCCGAAGAAGAUCAUAUCUGACCGAGGAUCUCAGUUCACCUCACGGUUCUGGGAGCAGCAGCAUGAUUCGUUGGAUAUGAAGCUAUGCUUCAGUACCGCCUAUCAUCCUCAGACAGAUGGGCAGACAGAGAGAAUCAACCAAGUGUUGGAGAAUAUGCUUCGAGCCUGUGCUAUUCAGUAUGGUACCAGCUGGGAUAAAUGCCUGCCGUUUGCAGAGUUUUCAUACAACAAUAGCUAUCAGGCCAGUCUGCAGAAAUCUCCUUUCCAGGCCCUGUACAGUCGAAAGUGCAGAACUCUGCUGUAUUGGGUUCAGAUUGGUGAGAGGUAGGUGUUCGGUCUGAAUAUUAUUGAGGAUGCAGAACAGCUGGUACAACAGGUACGAGAGAAUCUGAGGGUUGCACAGACUCGUCAGAAGAGCUAUGCGGAUGUGCGUCGUCGGGAUUUGACCUUUGUGGUGGAUGAUCAUGUGUAUUUGAAGGUCUCGCCAAUGAGAGAAAUCCGCAGGUUUAAUGUGAAAGGGAAGUUAGCCCCUAGAUACAUUGGUCCGUUCAAGGUGUUGGAACGGAAGGGUGAGGUAGCAUACCAUUUGGAGUUACCUCCCAGUCCCUCAGGAGUGCAUGAUGUCUUCCAUGUAUCUCAGCUGAAGAAGUGCUUGAGAGUUCUGGAAGAGCAAGUACCGUUGGAAGGGUUGGAAGUGCAGGAGGAUCUGACCUACACCGAGCAUCCGGUGAAGAUUCUGGAGACGUCUGAGAGAGUUACUAGGAACAAGAAGAUCAAGAUGUGCCGUGUUCAGUGGAGUCAUCACACAAAGGAUGAGGCUACUUGGGAGCGAGAAGAUGAGCUGAGGAAGACAUACCCCGAUCUCUUUGCUAGCUAGCCUAUUCGAAUCUCAGGACGAGAUUCCUAUAAGGAGGGUAGGUUUGUAACACCCUAAUGUAAAAUUUCGAGAUUUAUAAUGAAUUUAAUUUUGCUCCAGUAAUUUUCUAAGGAUUUAUUUUGCCUAGCUUGCAUUUAACUUAAUUAAAUUCCACAAAGAAUUAAAAGUUAUUUUAGUUCAACAUGUUGGUGCAUUCAUGCUGGUGCAUAAGUUUAUUUGAGUGAGUGCCUAGGGUUUAAUUCAAUCUUGGUUUUGAAUUCAAAUAGAUUUAAGUUUGAAAACUAGAAAAGUAAAUAGGAAAGGGUUUGAAAAAGGGCAAACCAGCCCAGCAGCCCAACUCUCCGCGGCCUCUUUUCCCCCGCGGCCCAUUCUCCCUUCCUUCUCCCGCACGCGGCCCACUCCCUCAGCCCAGCUAGCUCGCGCUUCUUUUCCCCUGCUGGCCCGCCCCCUCCGCGCGCUCUCUCUCCCUCUUUCUCUCUGAUCACCCGACCCCACCUGUCAGCGCCCCCUUUCACUUUCCUUUCUUCUUCCCCCGCAUCACCGGCCGCGCAACGACUGCCCGCAAUCUCCGGCGAGUCUUUGCGUCGGGCCCGCACGCCGAGGGUGCCCCGCCGCCCCACAAAUAGGAUCUCCAAACCCCCUGCACCCUUAUCCCCUACCCCGCGGCUGCCACCCGAACCCUAGCGCUACCGCCCGCUUGCUCCGCCGCGCAGAGCUCCCUGCUCCACCAUGGACCCGCCGCUCCGCUGCACCCCAGACCCGGCCAAGGCCCGGAUCGGCUUCGCCUCACCGCCAGGAAGCUCCCCAAGCUCACCACCCGCGACAACGGCCCGUGCAACGGCCGGAAUUGCGCCCGAUGUUGCCGCCGGUAAAUUGCUCCGGCACCUCGAUUCCUCGCUGCCGGAAGUUCCCCGACCUUCUUGACUCCUGUAGCAUCUCUGCAGGAGCUUCACGAGUCGACCCGUGGAGUCCAGGAGCCCGGAGAUGCCCUGCAUCAACCCUCCACGAGCGCCGCUUCAUCUCGGCCGCCCGCCAUCGCCGCCGGCCACACUGCACCGCCUUGUCCGCUGCUCCGAGCCCUCAGUGAAUAUCAGCAUGUUCCCUUGGUCCUUUUGCGCUAGAUGUAGUAGAUCGUAGCCCGCUCCUGCAGCACGCACGCACGCACGCCGGCAAGCGCCGCCGCACAGAACCGCCCCCGCCGCCGCGCACGCAACCCUGAGCAACCCCGAGGCCCGCAAGUACCCUAGGUGGAUUACGCAUGUCGCGUUGAACCUCCCUAGCCCAAAAUCCGGUUGAUUUGACCCCCAGAGCAUCGUUCACGGUGAAAUUCGGCGAGCCCCAAGCCGUGCUCCGCCGCGGAACAAGGUCGCCGGUGAGUUCCGCCGCCGGCAGCGCUCCCUUUUAACCCUAACCGCCCGAUCCGAGAUCAACGCAUGAGAUUAGAUCGCGUACCCCUUCAAUCCCGGCCCUCCGAUCUAGAUCCAACGGACCGAUUCCAUCGUUCAGAUCGGACCGUUCGUUUCCCCCGUCCAGAUCGGACCGUCCGAACCCAGCCGUUCAGAUCGGAGCAUCCGAUCCGGAACGCGUUCGAACCGUCCGAUCCAGAUCCGACGGCCCAGAUUAAAAGGUACCGCUUCAGCCGUGCUAUUUUUCUAAAGAGACCCUGAGUUUCUUUGGAAUCAACCCACAGUCCACCCCCAUUCAAAAGUAAUUCCAGAUAAGCCCUGUUAUUAGCAUUUAGGCCCCUGAGCUUCUUAGAUAUAGAACCCGCCGUCCAGACCUUGAAUUUUGGCGUGUUAGCCCCUGCGUCUAUAGUUUAAUUUUGUUUAAGUCCCUAGUUUUGCGCAGAACCCCUGGAACUUUCUGUUUUCUUACAGAAAAGCCCCUAGACCUUGUUUUAGCUCUAGUUUUCGCGUCCUAGCUCCGUUUUAGGUGGUUUUCACGCUCACGCGAUCGUUGUAAUGCGUAGAAUAGUUCUAGCCUAGUUUUGUGCAUUGUUUUUAUGUAAUGUUGUACUGUUUCUUAUCUUUUGUCAUUGUUUGCAUGUAUGUGUAUGUGCUGGACCAUGUUUUGGCGUUGCGAUCGUGAGUAGAUGUUGAGCCACCGGAGGAGUACCAGGAGCCACCUUCUUCAGACGCGUUUAAGCAGCAGGUAGGAGAGUUUGAGGAAGGCAAGUAUAACAUGAAUAUCCUAUCACUUUUAAAUACAAUUUCAUACUGCAUUUUAAUACUGUAUGCCUACAAGGAAUUCCUAGCCACUUUUAUCCUUUAUAUAUAAAUACCUUGGGUUGCAUUUUGGUUAAGUUGUGCUAGGUGCUGCACUCUGACACAUUAUGGUCCUUUUUAAUUAAAUUUGAUUAAUGGUAUAUGCAACUUGAUUCUGAUAGUGGCCCUCUGUGUUGUGUGCUUGAGCAGCUCACGGCUCGUUAAAAUAUAUUUUUAUUAGAAACAUGGUUUAGGGGGCCAGCAUGGUGCUUAGUGCUUGGUUGGCCACUCUCCCUAAGGACCGGUUCAUAGAGCGACAACCUGGGACAACCGCGCAACCACAAGACUGGAAUGGGACGGUCUUGACUUACUAAUUAGGUCAUUUUGGUUCGGGAGUAACUUACCUGCGGGGCAAGAGGGGUGGUAAGCUUCAAUGGUCCUUGCUCCUCUGGCUUGGUCUGUGCUGUGUGCUUGUACCCCCGUGAGGUGGGCCCCAUCGCCGCUGAUCCAGAAACCUUAGCGGUUACACCUUAGUAACGUGAUCCUUUGUAACGGUCUCGUAGUGCGCUCGCUAGUCAUCUCACCUAAGGAAGUGUGAUGAACAACUAGCGUAGCUCACGACUUGUGGGUAAAGUUGUGCAACCUCUCGAGAGUGUAAAACUGGUAUACUAGCCGUGCUCACGGUCAUGAGCGGCCUAGAUCCUCCGUCUGAUUAGUGGGGUUUAUCUUUGGGUGGUUUGGCCUGGAUUUCAGUAGAGUCAUGAUUAAUUUUGAUUAAUUACUAUGCAACUUGGGUUAUGGUAAUUCAUCCACUUGUAGUAAAUAGCUUUAAUAAAACUUGCCAAAAUUAAAAGCUAAUGCAGUUGAGUCAGCUAACCGUAGAGUCUCAUAAUUCGUGUUAUACUUGUUGAGUACAAGUUGUGUACUCACACUUGCCUCUCUACUCUUUUGUUCUCUUUGGGAUAUCUUCGAUUGCUGCUCAGUACCAGGCGACGUGGAGGACUACAUCAGCGGAGUCGAUGAUUUCUAGUAUUUUGUCUCCCAGCCGACGUCCCUGUGGCGCCCUGUUCUUCAUGUAUUCAUUUUACGCUUCCGCAUUCCUUGAACCGAUUCUUGAUUCGGUUGUAAUAAAUAAUUCAUUUACAAUUUAUACGCUUUUAUUUCAUGAUAUGUGUUGUGAUAUCUUGAUGAUUCUGUUGUAUAUAUGCGUGACUUGAUCCUGGCGCAUAUAUGAUUGCUCGAUUUAUGUCCUUGUAAAUCGGGUGUGACAGUAUGUGUGCUAAAACUUGAAUGUAAAGGCAAAAGGGUAUUUUAGUAAUUCUGGAAAAUUUAGGUCCUUUGGUGCAAAAUGGGUGAGAAUGGGAGGUAAAAUCAAAUUAUGUAAAUGGUUGUUUUGCAAGAAGCAAGUACUUACUUUUAAACCACAAAUAGAAGUGAAACUAUCCUAAGGAUUCAAUUGGAGUGUAGAUUUUAAAUAAGAUUUCUCCGAAGUUUAAAACUUUGCCAAGUUUAAAGUUAGAUUCAAAUCAGUAACUCUUUUGAAAUAGAACCUUAAGGCAGAGUUGUAGAUCUUGCUAAGUCUACACUUUUACUUUUGGGCAUAUUUUCAUUUGAGCUAUGUUUUGAAAGUUAACCUGGCUUUACAUUAGAGUCCCUAUACUUUUGAAAAAUUGCAGCCAGGUCCCCAUCGUCUACCUCCAACUCCCUCCUCUCUCUGUUUCUCCCUGCGCCGACCCCGCCGCCCUCACCGGCCAAUUUCCCGAGCUCCAGCUACCCCGCGCCGCUCUUCUCUGCACCACGUGCUGCUCCAGCACCGCGCCCGCCGCUCCCCACCCCGCGCUGGCCCUCUCCCUGCUCCUGCACGUCGCGCCGCCGCUGCCCAAGCCGCCACCCACGCCGCCGAGCUUGCCAGCACCUGCUCUUGCUCGCCAUGCCUCCUCCUCAACCUGAAGCACGUCCCUGAGCUCCCAGUGCACUCCCUCUUGCAUUCACGCACCCACAUUUGCACUGCCUUUCUUCUUCCCGAGCGCGACGCCCCGCCGGAGCUCCGACGCAGCUCCUGCUCACCGUCGUCAGCCGCCUCCGCCGCCUCCCACCAGCAACCCAGUGCUCCAGCAGCAUCGCCACCACCCACUAGUGCUCACAGACCAGUCCAAUUUCAAAUUCCCGCACCCGAGCAGCCCCGACCACGGCGCCGGUGAGCUCGAGUUCUGCCGCCGCUCAGUCUCGCCGCCGUCCCGACACCUCACCGCCUCUUAGCCCCGGCCAAGCACACCACCAGCACCACAUCACCCCGAGGAAGCUUUCUAGCUACUUCCGCACCACCCUCCGGCACUCCGGCCACCGGAACGCCGCCAUCGUCCCUCGGAGUCCCGCCGCCCGCCCCUGUUCGCCGUUGACUUACCGCCUCGGCCCCUCUCUUCCCCAACAUUGGCCACCCCCGCGACCGCCGUGAGCUCCUGAACAUUUUCCCCCACUUGCCCCUCGCAGCCGGUGAGCCCCCUCGCCGGAAUUUGGUCGCCACCGAUCGGCAUCCCUGUGUAGCCCGGCCAAGAACCCAAUUGCAAGGGUUUAAAACUUUUCAGGGGCCUUUCUGUGGAAAAUCAGAACCCCCCAUUUCAAAUCAGCCAACUUUGAAAAUCCAUAGAAAUUUGUAGAAAAAUCCAAAAAUUACCAAACCAGUUUUAUUGUACUCCAGAAGUGUAACUCUACAACCAGUUUAAGAUAAAAAUGUUUUAAAAGUUAUUUAAAAGAUUAGCAAAAGGGUAUCUUAUGUGUAACUUUUGCAUGCUAGCGCUAUUGCUUGUGAUUUUUGGUGUGUAGCCUGUUUAGGGUGUGACUGAGCUUGUGUACAAAUUUCACUGGUAGUACUGAACCCUAGCUUGAAAUAGAUUAAACCUAUGCAAAUCAAGCUUGAAUUGGUUAAAAUUUAUUCAAGCAUAUUACUAAAGUUUUCAUGCUUAGAUCUUUUUACCAUAUGAUGUACUGUAAGUAAGUAGUUCAUAGUAAAUCUUUCAAGAAUUUAGGUCACUAUUUUGCCUAAGGUUUGAAUUUAAACUUGAAAUUUGAACUUAAAUAAAAUGCUUUAGUUUCUAUUUUCAGAAAAUUAUGAAAAAUUUAUAGUAAGCUCAUCCACUAGAAGUAAGCUUACCCACAAAAAUUCAAGGCCAUAGCCUUUGUGGAUUUCAAAAUAAAAAUCAAACUUGUUAAUCUAAUUCAAUUAAUUCAACUAAUUAGGAUAAUUGAAUUAAGAUACAAAUAGUAAGUUUGAAUUCAACUUUCUUAUUUUAUGAAGUUGUAUUUAUCAAUUUGUUAGAUUGCAACUUUAUCAUGAAGUAAAGUUCUUAACUCAAGAACCACCUCAUUCAAAUCACUGCAUAUCAUGUAGAGUCAAUGACACUCGACGACGGAGACUACGAACUAGUCCCGGAAUAUGAGCAAGGGUUUUCUGAAGACCUAGUGAACAUCGUUGAGGAUUUAAUUGAAGCCCCAAACCAAGGUUCGGAAGUCUUUGACAUCCCUAACCCUAGCCCCGCUCAAGAAGGCAAGCCCCGAUGCAUGACCCAGUAUUUUAAAUUAUUACACUUAUACAAUUUCUACUUAUAUAUCUAUAUUAUGCAUUAAGUCUAUGAGUUGAAAUAGAACUCUAGAUGCAUGAAUCUUAGGAACUAUUGUAUUGUGCCUGAGUCCUUAUCGAAUAGAUGCUCUGCUAAUAGAACCGGCAAAAGUCGGGUGAUUUCCUAUCACUCGCGCGAUAUAGGAGUUGAAUGUUUACUACUCUGCAAUCACUAUAAGGAUGAUGGACGGGUUGAUGUGCAGUAUCAUGACUUGGAAGGUUAUCCUGUCUAUGUUGAUAAAAGUUGAUAAGGUCACAGUGUGUGGUAGCUGUGGUUAAGCAUUUGAAAAUACUAGCCACAUACCGCGAAAUAUGGAAAGCGGUUAGCCUAGAAACCAAUCGGCCUGAGGAGUGGACAUACCUCCCACCACUCGUAAUUUAGUUUUUCACACACGCAUCGACGUGCGGGAAUACGUUCUGACAGCGGACAGGAUUACGGUCAUGUAGUCGCGCAACAGACGUACGUCCUGCACAUUGGAUGUGCGUAUGGUCCUACAGUCACUUGUGGUGGCCCUAAUCCACGAGUUGGAAUGAAAGGUAAACGGUUGCUUCGGAAUGAUCAUUGGAUGUUCCAAGCGUGUGAGUUAGGUUUACCCUUGCAAGGUUAUGAAACUCGAUUCAGAAUCGUCCGUUUCUCGCGGAAAUUGAGACUGCUUGCUCCUUCUGCCACAUAGAGUAAGAAUAGAAACUAUUGUUGGAAUAAUCUGGAUGAAAGCUAAUCUCUACCUUGCUUGUCUAGUAUAGGUGCUUACUUAGAAUGGUUAAUGAAAUUAAAAUCUGAAAGCUAAAACAUGAAAGUUAGAUCAUACUCUUUGUUGCUUUUCAGCAAAAAGAAAACCAGAACAUCUCAAUCCUCCAUGGUCUAGUUUCGGGCUAAGUAUAUCCAAUCUCGGUUAAGUCUUGCUAAGUAUUAGCAUACUCAGUCUUGCUAGUCUAUUUUUCAGGUAUGGCCUGUGGAAACCAAACGGAUAGUCCAGCUCAGCUGUGGAAACCAAACGGAUAGUCCAGCUCAGCUAUUCUCUAUUCCGUUUGGCUGGUCCGUGGAGUGGGAUCCAUCCCCGGCCGGCAAUGACCCUCCGGAAUGACGCCAUGUUUCGAGCUGAACAUGGUGCCAACUUUCACGACGUAUGUAGUCGCGUGUUAUUUUUUUCUGCUGUAACUCUGAACAAGCUGUGUAGCUUGUUGUUUUAAACAAUGUUUCUAUAAGUUUACUUUAAGUUUGAAACAGCCUGUAAUAAUGUUUAAUCUUUCGGUAAAUUAAAAGUUGAUGAGUUGUGGUGUGAUUAUAAACUCGCCUUCGUGCGGGGUAAACCUACCUCGAUCCUGUGUAACCGUGGUUGAAUCGGGCGAUGACCCGACAGACCAAUGGAUUGUUCUGUUUGAAGUGCGUUGAGUUAGUAUCACCUGCAUAGUGAUGACUAACACACUUGAGCCGGAAUAAUUCAAGCGGUUCUGCCACAUGACUGAGGUCUAAGAUAGAAUGACUGAGUUUGUUCAAAUUUAACAAAUGAUUGGAUGUACUCAGUAAUUCGCCUGAAUGACUGAAGCUAAAAUAUGUAGUGACUGAGGCUAAAAGGAUGGAUUGACUGAGUUUUGUUCACUCCCUUCCAUGUAUUGCAUGUUUAUUGUGAAGAAUGACUGAAAAUCAAUAAAUUACUGCUAUCUAAGUAAUUCUACUGAAUGACUGAGACUAAAAGGAUAGAAUGACUGAGCUUGUUCACUUCCUAAAAUCACAAUCCAUAGAGUGUAGGGUUAGAAUGUUGACAUUGGGGGGAGGGGAAAUCGCAAGGGUACCGAAGGAAUCAGCAAUGAGGCACUGGAGAGCACGAAAUGGAGCAAACCCUAAACAAUCCGCACCACAAAUUGACAUUGGGGGGAGGGGAAAUCACAAGGGUACCGAAGGAAUUAGAGAGCACGAAACGAAGCAAACCCUAAACAAUCCGCCCACAAAUUGACAUUGGGGGGGAGGGGAAAGCGCAAGGGUACCGAAGGAAUCAGCACUGAGGCGCUGGAGAGCAUGAAACGGAGCAAACCCUAAGCAAUCCACACCACAAAACCAUCGAUGUCCCCCUACCCCAACUGCAAAAUACCUAGCAUGCCGCCUUGGUCAUGGGAGGCGGUCCGAUCUAAACUUCCGCACUGGUUCGAUCUGAACUCGCACUGGUCUGAUCUGAACUCAGUUAUUUCUUCUGAAUGACUGAUGCUAAAAAGAUGGAAUGACUGAGGUCUAAGAUAGAAUGACUGAGUUUGUUCAAGUUUAACAAAUGACUGGAUGUACUCAGUAAUUCGCCUGAAUGACUGAAGCUAAAAUAUGUAGUGAGUGAGGCUAAAAGGAUGGAUUGACUGAGUUUUGUUCACUCCCUUCCAUGUAUUGCAUGUUUUUUGUGAAGAAUGACUGAAAAUCAAUAAAUUACUAUUGAACUCAGUUAUUUCUUCUGAAUGACUGAUGCUAAAAAGAUAGAAUGACUGAGGUCCUAGAUGCACGAUGUGCUAUUCCUAGAUGUCAUGCCCCCACCGCGUGCUAUUUCAUAAACCCGGACGUGCUAUUCGAAAACAAACCAUCGACGCAGUCAAUAGCACGCGGCGGCUCCUAGAACCGUCAGCACGGAAGCGAGUCCUACGCAGCAGCGGCGGCGCGUCGGCGCCAUCCAUGUAGGUAUGUACCCUAAUUUCUCUCUGUUAGGGUUUUGUAGAUUUGCGCUCGCGUGAUUCGUCCUUCAUGGGAAUAGCCCGUCAACAGUCGAGAGGGUGCUCGUCGGCUAUGCUCCUAUUCUUAGGAUGACUCCCCGUAGGAGCAAAAGAAGGGCAAGCGUUGUUCAAAUUUCAAAUUGAGAAGUUCUUGGUGUUUUUUAAUUGAGGUUUGGCUUGCUCCUAUUCUUAGGAUGACUCCCCAUAGGAGCAACAGUAGGUCAAGCGGCUUUCAAAUUUCAAAUUCUGCUUCAGAGAAGCAUGCGAAGGCCACACCCAAAAAGAAAAAUUCCCAGA